rnacentral:lncRNA from 1 species
AAUGAAAGCAAGAUGCCACGGAUCUCCAAAAUCAUCCUUGCUGAAUACCUAUUUCCUCAUAGUCUAACCCACUUGAGUUUUUCUAAUACUGACCUAAUGGAUGAUCCCAUGCCGACACUAGAAAAGCUGCCACUUCUUCAAGUGCUCAAACUGAAGCAAAACUCGUAUUCAGGUAGAAAGCUGACUUGUGGAUCUGAUGGUUUUCCAAGGCUUAAUGUAUUGCACAUGAAAUCAAUGCUAUGGCUAGAGGAGUGGACUAUGGGGACUGGGGCCAUGCCAAAACUAGAAUGCUUACUUAUCAACCCUUGUGCUUACUUGAAAAGGGUUCCUGAACAGCUCUGGUGCAUAAAGAGCUUAAACAAAUUCGAUUGCUGGUGGCCUCAGCCAGAGCUGAGACAAAAGCUACGGGAAUUCAAGGAUAAGGAGCAGUAUGGCGUUCAGCUUUAUCCUUACGGAAUUUGAUUAGCCCUGAUUGAGUUUCAUGUAAGUUUUUUCUUCUUCCCCAAUAACUUCAACCUUUAAUUAUUGAUCUAAUUUCAUAUAAAAGUUUUUUUUCCUCCACAAUAGAUUUGAUAGUAUGCAGCUGCCUAAACUAUAAUCAUAAUAUAAAGUGUUUUCUACAUUCUAAUUGUGGUUGCUUCUAAUUUUUGUCUCAACAUAAACUUGAAGUGUCCAUCACAGUUCCUGAUGCUGACACCAUUCAUUAAAAACUGUAUGAUAAGAUCUUCUAUCAGUUGUAUGUGCAGGUAAAAGCAGAGCGGAAAAUAUCUUAACUGUACUGCAGCCAAAGUUUCAAUUUCAACCAGAAUCCAGCCUUCAUCCUUUCAGUGUUCACUUCUGCUGAGUUGUCUACACGUUGUUUGGUUUCUUUGUUUUCAAGGAUUUGCAUGCUAAAGUAAUAAUGUCAUGUUCGGAUUAAUAUAUUGUACAAAAGUCUGAUUAAUUGUUUUACUUUCUAUUUUCAGUUUCACUGGUGUGUAUUCAAUUUGUCAACAUUCAAAUUGAUAUAUGUUAUGUUUUUAUUUUUAUUUUAUUUCUUUCUCUAGUUUUUAAGUAGCGGUACAGUUCAACUUCAAGCUUAGUACUUCAGUUAGAAGAAUAGUAUUUGUGCUUUGAUCUCAUCUCAUCAUCUCAACACAGGCAGAACGACAUUGUUGUUCGGUUUUUUGGAAUUUCACCGACGUGUCGGUCAUUAUAAGGGCGAGAAUGCUGGUCAAAAGUCAGUUGGGGUUAGUUAAAAAAGUGCAGGAAAAUUCUGGGAUUGUUAGAGAUGGCCUUUAUGAUAGUUUAUAAGGCUGGUUGAUGGGUCAUCUUCUCAGAUCUCAUCAAAGCUAUGGGGAGGGAGGGAGAGAGAGAGUUAAAGUAGAAAGUUGUAUAUUCUUGUUCUCUGUAACAAGCUCUACAUCCUGGUAACCUUGAUUUGCGACAUAGUGAAAGCUUGAAAGCUUGUAUCCUUGUUCUUCACUGGAUUUAGGCACUUUGAUUCAAUUUUUAGUUCGGAUUUCUGAGAACGAGUCUUCAUACAUCAAAUCAAAGAUGGUCUGAGGUGUUUGAUCUUGGUACUGUCAGAGGAUUAAACACAACAAAAAGAAACUGGGACAUAUUGCCUAAUCUUCAUAGUCUUGAGAUAUAUGGAGAUUAAGCCCUUGUCAAUUUGGGUUGUCCAACAACCCUUUUAAAAUCGAAAACCAGCACUAAUCCUUGGUGAUUUGGAGCAGAAGAUUUAACGAGUAAAGUUCCGAAAGUGGAAUCAUACCAUUACCAAAGCCCUCUUUUGCAGCAGAGAAAUCCCUUAUAGCCAUUGAGAUUAAUUGAUUAAAUGGAGUUGACAAAUGAAACAAAAACGAAAAAAAAAAAAAAAACUUCAAUUCUACCAAAAUCAUUCAACCAUUAAUACCCACUUUGAAUAAAAUUCAACAUCCUUUUUUCUAUCCCUUUCAGGUAAUAAGUUGCUUCUGUUGUUUUUAAUCUCAAUAAGAUAUAUAUCAUCGGCAUAUUGAAGUUUGUGAUUAUUCUAAGAAAAAAUAGGUGCUUUAUUAUUUGAAUUAUCGACAAAAUAAUUCCAUUUCAUUAUUUUGUUAGAUCCACUAUAUGUACAUGUUUGAAUCUUAUUCACAAGUUUUGAUUUCACUCUCACGUUUCAUAUGAUGUCAAAUCAGAUAAAAAGAAAAAAAAAAAUGAAAGCUAGCUUGUCGGUAGCAAUUACAUUAGCAUUUAGCAAAUGUUAUUUUGAGUACAAGCACAAUUUGGCUCAUUUUCCAGGACCAACUAUCUUCCAUUUAGAAAUGCAUUGACAAACAGAUUAAUUGGUAAAAUGAUGGUUUCUAGAUAGAAUCUUUCCAAGUUGCACUAAACUCCUUUCCUCCAAGCUAAACAUUAAUUAAUUUGCAUUUGAUAAAAUUUUUCUUUCUAUUCUUUUUGCAUAACGAUUGGUCACCAAUCUUGAUUCAAUUUUUUGAAUGGCAACUUACUGCUGGAUUAAUUAGAGAAUCAGACAUCACUCAUAAGGCAUCAAUCGGGUAAAGUUAUUUUCAUACAAUUACUUUCUUCAUAUCACAUCAGUCUAUACAAAUUUAUUUAUACAAGAUAGUUGUUACUCUAUCAUUAUUCAUCAAGAGAUCUAAAGAGAUAUAUAUAUAUAUAUUGGGGAUGGAUCAACAGCCCCCUAAAAAUACUCUUAAUUUUACACUAAUUAAUAUUUAUUAGAUUUGAAUUGAAUCAAUGGAUGUGAUUAAUUGAAAUUAAAUCUUCAAGACCUUUUAAUAUUCUCUCUCUCAAUGUGGUUCCCACUUAAAAUUUUUCUCACUCUUUUAUUUUUUCCCUUCGUUCACGUGAUGUGCUCUCUCUCUCUUCUCUUCUCUUGUUCUUUUUAAUCUAUGAUUUUUCGUUUGCUUUUUUCUUUCUUCCUCAGUCAUAAAAAGUCUUAACUCUCUCUAGCAAAAAUUCUUUACUCUCUCCAACUUUUAACUCCACAACUCUUUUUUUCACUUUUUUUUCUCUCUCCACAUACCAUUUGAAAGCACAAAAUUAUUAAUUUUAACCAGCGGAACUAGUCCCCCAGCAAAACAAUCAUCAAACUCAAGUUUAACAAAAAAUUCUUGUGAAAAAGGAUGUCUAUUGACAACGACAUGGCAUUAGAAGUUUUUCUUCAAAUCUCAAGUAUAGAUUUGAUUGGUACAAAGAUUUACCACAUAUUAUGAAUAAAAAUAUUAUAAUCUUAAGUAUAUGAAAAAAAUAUGUGCGAAUGGGAAUAUGAUCUCUACUGUAUAUUAUGAAUAAAAAUAAAGAAAGAGAAAAUAAUAGCAAUUUUGAGCAAACAAAUAGAAACCUUGCCUUAUGCUAUUUAAAAUUAAUAGUAUUACGUCAUAAUUAAUUUGAGAAUUUGCUUUAAGUGGUCCAUAAAGUAAGUCCAAAAUGACUGAAUAAGACAAAAUUACAGAGACUUCUUUAACCAAUGAAACAAGUUGGUUGCUUCAAUAUUCCUCGUCAAUGAUUUUGGUGCCCAACUCCUUGAGUCCUCCUGGAAGGAUUUCAACAACAAUGCUACGCAAAACUGACAAUAAAAGAAAAUAAGAGGGGAAACGAAUGAAAACAACAAUGAAGAAAAAUAAGUACCAUCAAUGGUCUGCAGGAUACAACUUAAGCCUAUAGCUUGAGGCAAUCACUAUGCACAAUAAAACUCAAAUCACAUAUACAAGUGAAGAACUAAAAAUUGAAGAAGUUGGCUAUUAAACAUAUAAAUUUCAAUGAACAUAAUCAAUCAAAAUCUAAGCAUACUUACAACAAUUCUCUUCGUGAUUAUAUUGAUAUCAAUUUAACUCAUUUCUUCAUUCCGUAAUAUUUUUGCAAAUAAUCAAAAAUAAACUUUUUAGAGAGAUCUUUAAUAUUGAAAGGUAAUUAUUACAAGAUUUUAUUUACAAUUUACCUAGAUUUGAUAUUUCAAUGCUUUUUCUACUUGGAUUUAAAGGACAAAUACGCUUAUCAUGUCCAAGUUUGCCGCAUGAAUUGCACUUCCUCUUCUUCUUGCCAAGAGCCAACUCAAUACCACUUUUGAUUCUGCCAGUGUUGUUAACAUCUUUCUUCCGACCCUUGGUUUGUGAAAUAUUUGGAUCCAAAAGUAAUGGCUGAGAUGAACUAAUGCUAAAACAAGGAUCAUCUUUCUGUUGGCAAACAGUGGCUGGUUGGUUUGAAAUAUCUAACAACUUUUUUGCUAGCUCAUUUAUACCAUCCAUGUAAAUCAAGUAUGCCUCAUUUGAAGAUGCAACAGCACAUGCUAAUUUAGUAGUUUGGUGGCACAUAUGGCUUAGUCUCAAAGCCUCUAAUUCUUCUUUACCAUCAUUUUUCAAAAAAUCUCUCAAAUCAAUCUUUCUAAAUUUAUUUGCCUCUUGUCUCCAUCUUGGAAGAAUAAAAUGAUUCGGCAGCUUAUCAAUGUCUAAACGAACAAACACUUUCAGCAUAUGUCUGCAAAGUAUUCCAACGAACUCAAAUUUUUUACAAUCACAAGUACCCUCAUAAGUUUACGGAUUUAACUUCACCAUAAACUCUUCAGAUUCUCCAAACUUUGUUCUCACUAGGUACUUGAGAAAUUCAGCAUCACAUCCACUCUCUUCAACUUUGUAUCGAUUAACAUGGCUCCAUUCAUCCUUGAAUUUAUUAAAAACAUUUAUGGUAUACAAUUGGGAUGCAUGUUUCAAAAGAAAUUCUCCAUCAUUGACAAUUCGAUAUUUAUGUUAUGAUUCAAAAUCUUCAUCACUUUCUUUUUCAAUAAUCCUUUUCAACGCUCCUUCAUAUUUCACAACAAACUCUCUAAGAUUUGUCGAGGAUGUUACAAAACCAUUAAAGAAUGAAUUAAUGCCCUCACUCCGUCCUGUAGUAUUCAUUCCAGCAAAAACAAUACUACGAUUAUAAAUAGGUGCCCAAGAAGCUUGUAUUUCAUAUAGAUGAUUUAGCCAUUCAUUGUCUUCCAAUUUAUAUUCUAUAAUCAAACUCUUCGAAGUUUCUUCAAAUUCCUCUACUUUGUAAGUAGACAUAAUACAUUUUUUUCAAUCCGAUCUUGAAUCUUGACUUCUUGAAGUACACAUAUGACAACUUCUCGGCAAACUUCUUCUUAAUAUGCCAAAGGCAUAAUCGAUGGUGAGUAUUUGGAAAAACUGUCACAAUUGCUCUUUUCAUUGCCAAGUCUUGGUCAGUAAUGAUAGAAACUGGAGGAUGUCCUCCCAUAGCUUCAAGCCAUGUCUCAAAAAGUCACUGAAAUGUUACCUAUGUUUCAUCUUGUAGAAGUGCACAAUCGAAUUGUAUUAACUGUAAGUGGUGGUUCACUCUUGUGAAUGGUGCGAACGACAUAUCGUACUUGUUUGUUCUAUAAGUUGUGUCAAAUGAAACUACAUCCCCAAAACAGUGAUAUGCCAACCACGAUCGAGCAUCUACCCAAAAAAAUUUGGUUGCUUGCCCUUUUUCAUCACAUUGGAUUGCAUAAAAAAAUUUGAGGGUUCUCAGCUUGCUUUUUCCUGAAAUAUAUAAGGAUUGAUUGGGCAUCCCCUCCAUCCAAUUACCUAUGACACACAUUCCUUAAGUGAUUAUAGCAAUCUCUGUUGUUAAAGCCCAUUUACGAACCUCCUAGAAUUGAACAAACUUUUGCAAUAGGCAAAUUUUCUCUAUGAAAAGCUUCAGUCAAAUUCUUAGCAGCUUUAGGCAUGUGUUUGUUUGACUUCAUCUUUAUUCUUCUAGCAGGAGUAACUACUUUAUGAUUGUGAGAAUCCUUGAAAACCAUAAUCUUCCACUUAUUUGACCAUUUGUCAUACAUAACCCGCAUACUAGCUUCACACCCACAUUUGACAGUUGAACAAUUUCUACUUCUUUUUUUUUUUUUGUAUUUACCUCACUUGCAUCUUUUUCAUAGUGUUCUUCCAUAAAAUUAGGCUUAUUAAUCUUUGGCACAUGCUUCCCUUGAUGGGCAAAGUAAAUUGUCCACUAGUCACCUCAUUGCAGCCUACUCUACUCUUGGAAGAAGAUCGAGUUCGAAUCCAAAACCCCUCCUAUCUACCAUAAUCUUCAUAGUAGUUUCUAGCUUGCUCUAAUGUUUCAAAAAGCAUCCCCACAUAUGGUGCCUCUAAUUGUUCAAGAUUGUUUUCAACCUCUUCGCCAUUGUUCCCCUGUAAUGUGUCAAACAAUUGAAAGAAAAAUAAAUAAUAUAUAAAAAGAUAAAAAUAUUGAAAAAAUUACGAGUUAGAAAAGUUAGGUAAAAUUAAUUGUAAAAAAAAAUAAAUAAAUUAUAAAAGCAUGACACAUACCAAAUAUUCAUUAUUUUCAGGCAUUUUCACGAAGAGUUGUGGAGUUAAAAGUUGGAGAGAGUAAAAAAAUUUUGCUAGAGAGAGUUAAGACUUUUUAUGAUUGAGGAAGAAAGAAAAAAGCAAAUGAAAAGUCAUAGGUUAAAAAGAACAAGAGAAGAGAAGAGAGAACACAUCACGUGAAGGAAGGAAAAAAAUAAAAGAGUGAGAAAAUUUUAGGUGGGGAUUACAUGCAGAGAGAGAAUAUUAAAAGAUUUUAAAGAUUUAAUUUCAAUUAAUCUCAUCGAUUGAUUCAAUUCAAAUCUAAUGGAUAUCAAUUAGUGUAAAAUUAAGAGUAUUUUGAGGGGGCUGCUGAUCCAUCCCUAUAUAUAUAUAUAUAUAUAUAUAUUUUAUCAUGAUGUCUUUUAAUUAUUCAUUGAUUUGCAUGCUAGGACUACCACGUGAUGAGAGGGGAAGGGAAGGAGUCACGUUGCCCGAGGCAGCUAAACAACAUAUUCAAAACCUUCACGCAGAGAUACGAAAUCGUUACUUCUUUGUUGAGUGCCUGUGGAAACAACACAGCUUGGAUUAUGCUGCGAUCAAAUGCUGAAAAAGAUCAAAAUUGAUAGAGAAUUAGAAAAAGAUCUUCAGCCCAUUAUUGAAUUAGACUGUUAGCUCUCUCAAAUAGACUUGCUCACAUCGUUCCAACUGAAAAAUGGAGAGAACAUUGGGCUUAAUUUAAUGCCUGCAGGAGUACCACUAAAAGUUACCGAUGGCCUUUUCUCAUCUUAUACCAUGGAAUUGUGUCAUUAGAAAAGAAUUGACUAGAUACUUGGCAUAUCUCCAGUGGGUAUUAAAUGUUCGCAUAUUCCACAUUUUAGGAUUCUAUACCGAUCUGACCUACUACAAUUAUGUAAUUAUGUGUUAUUAUAUGAAAUAAAAUAAUGUAAAUCUUGACUGUAUAUAAAUAAAAAUACACAUAUAUCAGAAGAUUCUUCAAAACCCAGAUAAGUUCAAAUUAAAAGAGGAUUUAAUACCAUCUCACAUUACCUUUUUUCUUGAAACCUUAUUUUCUCUACACGUCUGUCUUUCGUUUUUAUUUCGAGAUAUCAAACAGGCAACUGUAUCAAUUGUGGGUAGCUGAAGGUUUCAGUUCAAACAAUAAUGAGUCAACUGCUGAGAAGUUCUUGGAACAACUUGUAACGCCACAAAUUCCCAUACAUAUUAAAUUAUGGAAAUUGGGCUUUCAUUGAGAAUUAUGGGUGGCCUAUAACCCUUAUUUAGAAAGGGGUACUAAUUAAAUAGAGGUUAUUUAUGAGAUCAUUUUGGAAAAGGGCUAGUUUUCCUUAUUGAAUAGGGUUUCUUAAGAUCCCCUAUAAAUACAUACUUUUCCCCCUUCCAUAACCCUAAGUUCACAACGUUUAUCCUUCUUCUCUGCUGCUCUUUACGCUCCUACCCAAAUCUUAGGAUUCAAACCUUUGUUUAGGAGAGACUCAAAGCGACGGGUAAGUUCACAACGUUUAUUCUGAACAGCAUGAGUAUCUCGAAUUUUUAAAGCUAUAUUUUCUGAACGAAUUUUCUUAUAAAAUUUAUAUUUCUGGAAACUAGACAUGUAGGGCUUCUUGAUUAAAUUUUAUUUCAUUAAAUUCAACUUCGUUUUCAAUUUUAUACGUAUUUUGGAAAUAGAAACCACUGCACUGGAAAUCCACGAUUCCAGUAUUGUGAUCAGAUUCAAAAGACUAUUUGUACCACCAAAUGAACUCAAAAAAUUCUGAAAGUUUAUAUGUAUGUUAAUAUAUGUGUCUAGGAUUCGCAGUUUUAAUUUCAUAAUUUUCUGAUUAGUAUUUUAUUUUAUAAAAAUCACGGAACCCAUUCUGUUUGGUUUAGAUUAUGUGAAAACAGUUUCGAAUUUGCUGAGAAGUAAAUAGUUUUUAAAAUGUUUUUGAUAUCGGAUUCUCUUGUAAAUUUUACAUGGGGUACUCAUGGAUGUCCAGAAUGGUUCCAUAGGAUUUUAUAUCAUUCUGAGACUUGGAUUAAGAGUUAAAAUUCUGAGAAUCAGACCUGUACGGGUAUGAAUUAGAAAAUCAAAUUCUUAGAAUACGUUAUUGAUUGUCAUAUCUUGUAUUUGUUUAAGGUUUUGAAGGUGUUUGAGGCUCUUAGAAGCUUAGAGGUGUGUUAAUCCAAGUUCAUUUGUCGAGGUAAGUAACUUCAUUCCUAGUAUACUGGAUAUGUAUAAGUAUUUUGAUAUUAUUGUUAUAAGUAUAAAUGUUUUUAUACUACUUAAAGGAUUAAUUGAUUUUGAUAACAAAAUUAGCUUUAUGUAAAUGUUUUCAAACCAUUCUUUUUAACAAAGUAUUUUAUAAAUGCUUUUUAAUAUGUAAAUGAUUUUAUGACAUGACAACCUUUUAUGAUUUUAUCUUUAAAAUGUUAUGCAAGCCUAAAUUAUUGUUAUGAACUUUUAUGAAACUGAUAUGAAUGUUUUGUACCUAUGUUUGAUUUCAAUUAUUGAUGAUUGUAUGAGAUUCUUAAUGCUUUGGCUCAUUGUCCAUAGUUAGUCUGAUUCUGAUUCUGAUUCUGAUCGUAAUAUACGAUAUAUCCGUCUGGACCAGUACUGGGUUUUUGUUCUGAAUGUACACACGAUAUUCUAAUUAUGUUUCUGGCCGGGUCACCGGGACUAUAGGUGACACUAUGUGACAUGAGCUAACCUGUUUGUUUUCUGUAUACGUAUUACAUGAGUUGAUUCGUAAGUAAAUAUGCUUUUGAAUAUUCUGAAUUAUUAAGAAUUUAUCUUAUGUUAUUGUGAUAUAUCGUUUUAUGAAAAUUAUGGAUUAUGAUAUAUGCUUUAAACAAAAGAAGGCUUGCAAUAUUUUUGGUAUCAAUAGGCCUAGUGUGUUAGGAAUGGUUUUACUUACCGAGUUGACGGCUCACCCCUCGUCAUUACUUUUUUGCAGAUUAAGUUUCUUUUGAGAGGUGCACUUAGCUUUGGAGUUAAUGAUUUCCAGUUUCCGUUUGCUAUUGAAUAAGAGGAGGAAUAGACUUGUGUUUCUAUUUAGUUACUUUUAUUAUGAACGUGUAAUUUGGAGUUUGAGACUUUUGUUAUUAUUUUUAUAUGUCCUCGAGAGAGAUUAUUUAGUAUUUGACGUUUGGAUUUAUGGAUUUAUUUGAAUAAGAAUUGGAGGAAUUUCAGUUUGAAACUUAUGAGUAAAGAUUAUGAUUUGUGAGUAACCUCCUUCUUCACGUGCUCCGCACGUGUUAGAUUUGGGGUGUUACAAUUGUGGUAUCAGAGCAACUAGGUUAGGAUUCUGUAGACUUUCUUUUACGGUUUAAUUAGAUUGUCUAAUUAAAUCGAUUACAUUUGUUUUGUAGACAUGAAGAAGGACAAUAUGGGUAUGAAAAGUGUCAAGAAUAAGGGAUGGACAGAAAUUGAUAGGACCGAACAAUUUAUCUUAGGAGGAGUUCUUGUCAAAGAUCUUAGGAGACUUCAUAAGCAGUGAAUGGAUGAUAGACUAAGACGGACUAUAGAGGUCUACAUCGAUACUCCUCCAGGACCUGGAGCUUCAAGAAAGAAGCUCAAUGAGGCUAUACGUGGACUACGUGUUUAUGGCAAGGGAGCUAACAAGAAUAAGCUUGUAAUACGUCGCCUAUUUUGGACAGGACCUCGAUUUAAGCCUUACUAUAGCAAAGGAUGGGUAUCUCCAGGUCUAAAUAAACUACCUUAUAGAACUCCUAAGGAAAUCGAGACAGAUGGAGUCACGACUAAGGAAAGGAAAGUAAAGAUAGAUCCUUUUCCUAUCCGGUUGAGUACACCUAUGAACUUUGUGGCUGUAGGACAUGAAACUCUGUAGACUUUAUUAAGGUUAAUAGAGUGAUUAAAUAUUUUAAGGCAAGGAGUAACUAGUAAUUCUAUUUUGGUCUUUUUGGCUUUCUAUGUUGCUUGUGACUUUGUAAUAACUCUUGUUAUAUGAUCUUUGGUAUUAACGUAGAAUGAAAUAUUUAUUGCUCUUGUUUACAAUAUCAAAUUUUCUUAGCUACACUACUUAUUCAGUACUCUGCGCGCUUGCACGACCUUUAGCUAUGAAUUAUUUACCCCUUUUUAAUUAUUUAUUUAUUCUCCGUGUUAUAGUCAAGAGAUGUCACGUAAGGGAGGUGCUAGGCAUGCCUCUAGCUCGAGAGAUGUUUUAGGUAUCGCUGACGACGCUGACCCAACCUUGCACGAGAUGGCUAACGAAGGAAAUCCUAUGAUGCGCGCAAUGCUUAGAUUGAUGGAACAACAAAGUAAGUUAAUUCAAGAUAUGGCUAGAGGCAGAGUUGGGGCACAAGAGAAUGUGCCAGUUGAAAGGCAAGGUGGCGCAAGAGAUCAUGGGGCUAUGGUGAACUUAGAACGAUUUAAGAAAUUGGGACCACCUACCUUUCAGGGGACUGCCGAUUCCAUGGUUGCAGAGGCAUGGCUAAAACAGAUGGAGAAGAUAUUUGUGGCUAUGGGUUGUAAUGAUGAUCAAAGGGUAAUAUUAGCCUCAUUUGUCCUUCAGGGUGAGGCAGACCACUGGUGGGAUGCCAAAUCUCGUCUCAUAAGGGCUGGCUUGCAAGAUGCACCCAUUACUUGGGAGUUAUUUUUGGAGGCUUUUCAUGAAAAGUAUUUUCCUGAACGAGUUCGACAUCAGAUGGAGGCUGAUUUCUUGAGGUUAACUCAAGGAACAAAGUCUGUUGCGGAGUAUGAGGAACAAUUUACUGCCCUCUCUCGUUUUGCUCAUACCUUGGUUGCUAAUGAAGGUAGUAAGUGUAGGAAGUUCCUGGAAGGGUUACGUCCUAACAUUAAAGGGCGAUUGACCAUCCUUAAGAUUAACAAUUAUGCCGAUUUGGUGGACCGAGCAAUUCUUGCGGAGAAGGAUAUUCUUGAAGCCCAAGUUACAAAGGAUCAGAGAAAUAAGAAGAAUCAACAAGGUGGACCGCGAAAUGGAAGUUCCUUUAGGCAGGGCACUCACUCCCAGAAGUAUAAUGGUGGAGGUAACAAAUGGGAUAACAAGGGUGUUACUGGUGACACCGCUCGGAGGAACUACCCCAUUUGUCGACAUUGUGAAAGGAGGCACCCUGGUGAAUGCCAUUGGAAAACUGGAGCUUGUUUUGCUUGUGGAGAAUCUGGGCAUAGGAUUAUGGAUUGCCCAAAGAGACGUAGCGAGACUACAAAUACUCAGACUAACGAAGGGCAGAGGAAGAAACCGAGGGUACAAGGGCGUGUUUUUGCACUAACAGAAAAAGAUGCUGAGGUGUCCAAUGAUGUAGUAUCAGGUACAUUGUCUUUAUUCUCUAGAGAAGCCAAAGUUCUUUUUGAUCCUGGUGCUACACAUUCAUUUGUAUCUUGUGUGUUUGCCCGUUAUGCUAAUGUGCCUAUCACACCACUGGAUGUUCACGUGACAAUUAGUACCCCUAUGGGGGAUUGCUAGUUUAUAGAUCAUGUCUAUAAGUCAUGUGUGAUCAGAUUGUGUGAUAAAGAAUUCCUUGUGGAUCUCCUACCUUUAGAGAUGCACGAUUUUGAUUUGAUUUUGGGGAUGGAUUGGUUAGGACCUUACCAUGUUUCAAUAGAUUGUUUUGCUAAUUAAAUUAUUUUUCGCCUACCUGGCGAGGAAAAAUUUCAUUUUCAAGGGAAUCAUAAGAGUCAUAAAGCUUUGAUUUCUAUGGUUAAGGCAAUGAAAAUGCUAAAGAAGGGGUGUGAAGGAUUUUUAGCGUAUAUAGUUGCUGACCAUCCCGAUGGGGCGUGCCUUGAAGACAUACCUAUUGUAAGGGAGUUUAUUGAUGUAUUUCCUGAAGAUCUUCCGGGACUACCCCCAGAUCGAGAGGUUGAGUUUACUAUAGAAUUAGUUCCUGGUACUACACCUAUAUCCAAGGCACCAUAUCGGAUGGCACCCAUUGAAUUAAAAGAACUAAAGGUCCAGCUACAAGAAUUACUAGAUAAGGGUUUCAUUCGUCCUAGUGUGUCGCCUUGGGGUGCUCCCGUUUUGUUCGUAAAGAAGAAAGAUGGUUCAAUGAGGUUGUGUAUAGACUACCGGCAGUUGAAUAUGGUUACCGUCAAGAAUAAAUACCCUCUUCCCCGAAUUGAUGACCUCUUUGAUCAAUUACGAGGUGCAGCGGUAUUCUCUAAAAUUGAUUUACGAUCUGGCUACCAUCAAUUGAAAAUAAGAAGUGAGGAUGUAUCGAAGACAGCUUUUCGAACUCGUUAUGGACACUAUGAGUUCUUAGUUAUGCCUUUUGGAUUAACUAAUGCUCCUGCAGUGUUCAUGGAUUUGAUGAAUAGGAUCUUCCAACCUUAUCUUGACCAGUUUGUCAUCGUCUUUAUUGAUGACAUAUUAAUUUACUCUAAGAGUAAGAAGGAGCAUGAGUCGCACCUGAGGAUUGUAUUAGAAACAUUGCGGAAGAAGAAGUUGUAUGGAAAAUUUAAGAAAUGUGAGUUUUGGCUUGAUCGUGUGAUGUUUUUGGGACAUAUAGUGACGAAGGAUGGUAUUUCAGCAGAUCCAGCCAAAGUGGAGGUAAUUGUGAAUUGGGAAAGGCCUGCUAGUGUGACUGAAGUAAGGAGUUUCUUAGGAUUGGCAGGUUAUUAUAGGCGCUUUGUCAAAGGAUUUUCUAGCAUAGCAGCACCAUUGACUAAUUUGACUAAGAAGAAUGUGAAGUUCAAUUGGGAUGAGGCAUGUGAAAAGAGCUUUUAAGAGCUCAAGAGUCAUUUGGUGACUGCCCCCGUUUUAACUCUCCCUUCUGAAGGUGGAGGUUUUGUGAUUUACAGUGAUGCUUCCAGAAAAGGUUUGGGUUGCGUUUUAAUGCAACAUGGUAAGGUUAUAGCAUAUGCUUCUAGGCAGCUAAAGAAUCAUGAACAAAACUACCCAACACAUGAUUUGGAAUUGGCUGCUAUAAUGUUUGCUCUAAAAAUCUGGAGACACUAUUUGUAUGGGGAGACUUGUGAGAUCUUCACCGAUCAUAAGAGUUUGAAGUACUUGUUUACUCAAAAGGAAUUGAAUUUGAGGCAAAGAAGAUGGUUGGAGUUGGUAAAGGAUUUUGAUUGUUCUAUUAAUUACCAUCCAGGUAAGGCAAACGUAGUAGCGGAUGUCUUGAGUAGGAAAUCAUCUGGGUGCAUGGCUCAUCUUAUCACCAUGCAAUCUCAUUUGGUAAAAGACUUGAGGAGAUGUGGGAUUGAGGUAGUUACUCAUGGGCAAGCAGACGUGUUAGCACAUUUGACAGUCCAACCCACUCUAAUUGAUAGAGUUAAGGUAGCUCAGAAGAACGACAUAGAACUCAAUAAAAUCCGUGAAGAUGUGAGCAAAGGACAUAAGCCCGGAUUUAGACUUGAUAAUGGGGAUGGAUUAUGUUUGGGACAAAGGUUAUGCGUGCCAGCAGACGAAGAGUUGAAGGCGGAGAUCUUAAGAGAAGCUCAUGAAUCAUCUUACAGUAUGCAUCCUGGUAGUACUAAGAUGUAUCGUGAUCUAAAGCAAAGUUUUUGGUGGAGGAAUAUGAAGAGAGAUAUUGCUGCUUUUGUGUCUCGGUGUUUAGUCUGCCAACAAGUAAAGAUUGAGCAUUAAAGACCAGCAGGAACUUUACAAACGCUUCCUAUUCCUCAGUGGAAAUGGGAACACAUAACAAUGGAUUUCGUUUCUGGAUUACCUCGUUCUAGGAGGGGAUGUGAUUGCAUUUGGGUAAUUGUUGAUCGAUUGACGAAAUCAGCUCAUUUCUUGGCAAGGAAGAGUACAGACAAUGUAGGGCAACUAGCUAAGUUGUUCAUUAAGGAGAUAGUGAGGCUUCAUGGGGUUCCAGUGUCAAUAGUGUCUGAUAGAGAUCCACUGUUCACUUCAAGAUUUUGGGCUAGCUUACAUAAAGAGUUGGGGACGAAAUUGAGAUUUAGCACUGCUUUUCAUCCACAGACAGAUGGGCAAUCCGAAAGGACUAUUCAAACCCUUGAGGAUAUGCUUCGAGCUUGCGUCCUAGACUUGAGUGGUGGUUGGGAAGAGCACCUAAUGUUGAUCGAAUUUGCUUAUAACAAUAGCUUCCAUUCGAGUAUUGGCAUGGCACCAUUUGAGGCAUUAUAUGGAAGAAAGUGUAGGUCCCCAAUCUGCUGGGAUGAAGUUGGUGAAAGAAAACUUUUGGGUCCAGAAUUAAUACAGAUUACUGUUGAUAAAAUCAAGUUGAUUAGAGGACGUCUUCAAACAGCUCAGAGCAGACAGAAGAGUUAUGCAGAUCGUCGUAGACGUGAGUUGGAAUUCGAAAAAGGAGAUUUUGUUUUCUUGAAAGUAUCGCCAUGGAAAGGGGUGUUUCGGUUCGGGAAGACAGGAAAGCUUAGCCCUAGAUUUAUUGGACCAUUUGAGAUUUUAGAGAGAAUUGGUCCGGUGGCCUAUCGCAUAGCUUUACCACCAAGUCUGUCUAGGCUUCACAAUGUAUUUCAUGUGUCUGUGUUAAGAAAGUACAUUGCAGACCCUUUACAUGUGCUAGACUAUCAACCGAUUCAGAUAAAUGAAGACAUGUCGUAUGAGGAACAGCCUAUUGAGAUUGUCGAUCGAGACGAACAAGUAUUAAGGAAUAGAGUUAUUCCCCUAGUGAAGGUACGAUGGAUGAAUCAUUCUAUUGAGGAAGCCACUUGGGAGAGAAGCAGAAAUGUUGGAGAAGUAUCCUCAACUCUUCCAUGCAUAAGGUAACCUUUUAAUUUCGAGGACGAAAUUUUUGUUAGGAGGGGAGAAAUUGUAACGCCACAAAUUCCCAUACAUAUUAAAUUAUGGAAAUUGGGCUUUCAUUGAGAAUUAUGGGUGGCCUAUAACCCUUAUUUAGAAAGGGGUACUAAUUAAAUAGAGGUUAUUUAUGAGAUCAUUUUGGAAAAGGGCUAUUUUUCCUUAUUGAAUAGGGUUUCUUAAGAUCCCCUAUAAAUACAUACUUUUCCCCCUUCCAUAACCCUAAGUUCACAACGUUUAUCCUUCUUCUCUGCUGCUCUUUACGCUCCUACCCAAAUCUUAGGAUUCAAACCUUUGUUUAGGAGAGACUCAAAGCGACGGGUAAGUUCACAACGUUUAUUCUGAACAGCAUGAGUAUCUCGAAUUUUUAAAGCUAUAUUUUCUGAACGAAUUUUCUUAUAAAAUUUAUAUUUCUGGAAACUAGACAUGUAGGGCUUCUUGAUUAAAUUUUAUUUCAUUAAAUUCAACUUCGUUUUCAAUUUUAUACGUAUUUUGGAAAUAGAAACCACUGCACUGGAAAUCCACGAUUCCAGUAUUGUGAUCAGAUUCAAAAGACUAUUUGUACCACCAAAUGAACUCAAAAAAUUCUGAAAGUUUAUAUGUAUGUUAAUAUAUGUGUCUAGGAUUCGCAGUUUUAAUUUCAUAAUUUUCUGAUUAGUAUUUUAUUUUAUAAAAAUCACGGAACCCAUUCUGUUUGGUUUAGAUUAUGUGAAAACAGUUUCGAAUUUGCUGAGAAGUAAAUAGUUUUUAAAAUGUUUUUGAUAUCGGAUUCUCUUGUAAAUUUUACAUGGGGUACUCAUGGAUGUCCAGAAUGGUUCCAUAGGAUUUUAUAUCAUUCUGAGACUUGGAUUAAGAGUUAAAAUUCUGAGAAUCAGACCUGUACGGGUAUGAAUUAGAAAAUCAAAUUCUUAGAAUACGUUAUUGAUUGUCAUAUCUUGUAUUUGUUUAAGGUUUUGAAGGUGUUUGAGGCUCUUAGAAGCUUAGAGGUGUGUUAAUCCAAGUUCAUUUGUCGAGGUAAGUAACUUCAUUCCUAGUAUACUGGAUAUGUAUAAGUAUUUUGAUAUUAUUGUUAUAAGUAUAAAUGUUUUUAUACUACUUAAAGGAUUAAUUGAUUUUGAUAACAAAAUUAGCUUUAUGUAAAUGUUUUCAAACCAUUCUUUUUAACAAAGUAUUUUAUAAAUGCUUUUUAAUAUGUAAAUGAUUUUAUGACAUGACAACCUUUUAUGAUUUUAUCUUUAAAAUGUUAUGCAAGCCUAAAUUAUUGUUAUGAACUUUUAUGAAACUGAUACGAAUGUUUUGUACCUAUGUUUGAUUUCAAUUAUUGAUGAUUGUAUGAGAUUCUUAAUGCUUUGGCUCAUUGUCCAUAGUUAGUCUGAUUCUGAUUCUGAUUCUGAUCGUAAUAUACGAUAUAUCCGUCUGGACCAGUACUGGGUUUCUGUUCUGAAUGUACACACGAUAUUCUGAUUAUGUUUCUGGCCGGGUCACCGGGACUAUAGGUGACACUAUGUGACAUGAGCUAACCUGUUUGUUUUCUGUAUACGUAUUACAUGAGUUGAUUCGUAAGUAAAUAUGCUUUUGAAUAUUCUGAAUUAUUAAGAAUUUAUCUUAUGUUAUUGUGAUAUAUCGUUUUAUGAAAAUUAUGGAUUAUGAUAUAUGCUUUAAACAAAAGAAGGCUUGCAAUAUUUUUGGUAUCAAUAGGCCUAGUGUGUUAGGAAUGAUUUUACUUACCGAGUUGACGGCUCACCCCUCGUCAUUACUUUUUUGCAGAUUAAGUUUCUUUUGAGAGGUGCACUUAGCUUUGGAGUUAAUGAUUUCCAGUUUCCGUUUGCUAUUGAAUAAGAGGAGGAAUAGACUUGUGUUUCUAUUUAGUUACUUUUAUUAUGAACGUGUAAUUUGGAGUUUGAGACUUUUGUUAUUAUUUUUAUAUGUCCUCGAGAGAGAUUAUUUAGUAUUUGACGUUUGGAUUUAUGGAUUUAUUUGAAUAAGAAUUGGAGGAAUUUCAGUUUGAAACUUAUGAGUAAAGAUUAUGAUUUGUGAGUAACCUCCUUCUUCACGUGCUCCGCACGUGUUAGAUUUGGGGUGUUACACCACCCGUUUUUGUGGCCUUUUCCCGCUGGACGAACUUGGCGCCCCGGCCUUCAGGCACUUGCUCAAUUCCUUCUCUGCAAAUUUGAACGCUUGAACACGCACCGUCAUCCCAGUUCCUUGCAGUCGUCUCGAAGCCCCUGCUUUCAGUAGAGGAAAGACGAUUCUGUAUAGCCAUCAAACAGAUAAGAAAAUUUGAAACAAUCCAAGGUUUCUCAGAUCAAAUGAAACCCCAAGAUCAAUCAAGACCAAUGGAUGAUCUUGUACUUAGCUCUAAAACAAACAAGUAAAACCAUCGAAGAAAUUGGAUCAAAACCAGCAGGUUUAGAUUGAUUAUUUAUAAACAUCAUACUUGCCACACUCUUGGCGUGUAAAUCCUUAGAUUCACAGGUCUUAUAUCACAUGAAUGAAGAUGCUAGUGGUGUGCCUCCAUGGAUCUCUUAGUUUUCAAGUUGUUUUAUUUGACUGACCACCUAAGUUUGAAUCGUGGUGAGGGAAGAAGAUAAAAAUUAAUUUGAUCUUUGCACCUCACUACUUUUAAAAGAGCUCAAACUUCAGACUCAGUUUUGAAUUUUAAUUAUUUUAAAUUGAAACGCUAAUUCCAUAUAUUAUAUAUAUGAGUUUUUUUUCCCAAGGUUGAAUUAAAAUAUAUAUUUACAAAAUUCUCGAGAUAUGUGAUUUUUCAAGAUUUAAUAGAAUCAUAAGUACUAGUUAUAUAUACAUCUUAAUAAAUGUUUGCCAGACCUUUAUUUGUACUAAAAUUAUAUAUAUAUCUAGACUCCCAUUACACUUUAGAUUGUAACAAUUUAAAUAAAAAUAUUUUUUUUGGUGGAAGUCGUCUAGAAUUCUAAGAUUGAAAGUCAAAUUUCAAUAAAAAAAAAAUUAAUUUAAUAUAUAUAUAUAUAUAGAGAGAGAGAGAGAGAGAGAGAGAGAGAGAGCUUCUUAAGUGCAUAUACUUAAGGGAGUCCCUAUGUUACAUUUAAUGUACCAUACACAACCCACAAGAACCACAUAAAUUGUGGGAUCCACAUAAUUGUGUGGUUCUUGUGGGUUGUGUAUGGUACAUUAAAUGUACAUUAAUAUUAUGUGGUGUUAUAGCGAAUCUACACAAAAUCUGCAUUUAGUGCAUCCACACUUGAGAAUUUCUAUAUAUCAAAACUUUCAAAUGCAGAAGUCCAAAUAUAGAUUUCGUGCGGAUUCACUACAAAAUCAUAUGAUGUUAACAUGUUUUUACAAUUGACUAUAAUACCACAUGAUGUUAACAUGUUUUUACAAUUGACUAUAAUACCACAUGAUGUUAUAGAAAAUCCACACGAAAUCUAUAUUAUAUAAAGAGAGAGAUCUCGCUUUGCUUUAUAAUUGCGGUGAUAUUCCCACCCCUCAAAUGUUGUAAACUUACCUCACCUUAAAAAAUUAAAUCAUAAAAAAUUCACAUUAUUUUUAACGAUUUCAAAUUAGUAAGAAUAAAAUUAAGCAAUUGACUAAUUAAAUCCUCAUUAAAUAAUUAAAAUACAUUUAUGAUAUGAUAUUUCAAAAAAUUUAUGCUAUUUUUCUCAUGAAAUUUAUUAAAUAUAAGAAGGAUCUGAUUGAUUAAUUGUUUAAAAUUUUAUUUAUUUUAAAUUAAAAAAUGUGAAUUAUUUUUUAAAUAAUUCUUUGAAAUGAUUUAAAUGCGGCACGUGUCCCAUCAAGUUAAAACCUAAAGUUGAUUUAAAAACGGAAACCAAGUAGCGAGGCCCCGUUCUUCAGGAAAUUCCGAGCUAAGUUAAUCAACAUUUCCACUAAUUAUUUUUAUUUUCUUCCAAAGUUUAUUUAAUUAGAUCAAUUUCUGGCUUCCUACUUAAAUUGCAUAUCCAAUUUGGGGGUUGAUUUUUGGAGAUGGAGAUAAACUGAAACAUUAAUUGAAAUCGAUUGAGAAAAAAAAAAUCGAUUGAGAUUGAAAGUUCUUUAUUACCCAACAUACAGAAUACAUAUGCAAUUAAUUCAAAUUUCUAAAAUUACUGUAAUUGUUGGCAAUGUGGGUUUUUUUUUUCGUUGGGGGGGGGGGUGUCUGAAAUUUGCAUGCAUGCCUUAAUUGAGUUUUAUCACUUUAAAUCCUAAUUACUAAUGUUUUUUCUGUUAAUGGUUGAAAAUAAGAUAAGAAGAGAGAAGGUGAACUUGAAGAAGUAUAAGAAGACAAGACAUGUAAUGAUGUUGAUGUGUUUAUGUGAAUAAAGAGAACAACGGAGGUGGAACCAUUGGACAAAUGGAAAUGGAAUCUUUGUCCAAGUUUUUCCCUUGAUGUUCUAAAGUUUGCAUAUAUAUGUUUCAAGAAACAAAUGGAAAUUAAAUAGUACUUAAAGGUGAACUCACAUCGUCAACUAGAGGUUACACUACCAUUUGCCCAAUGGUUCCAUUUCUAUUAUCAUUUUCUUUAUUCACAGAAAUAUCAUCGGCCUCAUAUUCAUCAGUAUAAGAAGAGGGACAAGGACAAGGACAAGGACAGGGUGAGUCUAUUGUAAGACUACAGCAAAUCUACAAUUUAGUUUUAUUUUUGCUGCUACACCCAGGAAUCACUAGCAUCAACCACCUCCUUUAUUGCCCUUGAUUCAUUUUUCUCCUGAAGAUUGUUGACCUGAUGAAAUAACACUUAAAAUGAGGCUGCCUUAGACGAAGCAUAUAUGUUAAUCACCUGUUGUAAUCUCAUGCCAAAACAUUUCAGUUCCUGCUCAUAAAAUUAGUUACUUCAACCUUUGUCAUAUGUAUUCUCCACUGCUUCAAGAUACUUAGAUAGUGAAUGUGUCUAAAGUCCAACUCAAAAGAUUCAUUUGAGAAAAAAUUCUUCAGAUGGUCAUGUAGAGUUCUAAUUUAUCUCCGCAUCAUACACAAAAUACUUGAAACCUACACAUCAAUGAUCAAUGUUCAUCUUUUAUUGACAAUCCCAAUUCUCAAGUGUGUUUGGAAAGAAAUUAGAUUCACAGGCAUUCUAGAAAUAUCUGGUGUAUGUCAAUGACAAUGAUGCCAAGUCAUGUCUCAUGGCGUCCAAAAAAAAAAAAUGGUGAUGUAUGUGGAGGAAGAUCGUCAGCUCAAUUAAAACUACACCUCGGUCAUUUCUGGACUCGUCAACAAGAGGUAAUUUCUUACUUUGUGAACAAAUUUUGUGUCUUAUAAUUUUUUCCGUAUUUAUAUACUUACAUGCUGUUUUGUAAUUAUAUAGCCACCAAAGCCUGGACAUGGAGAUGUGUGUUUUGUUAUGUUUAGUCCAUUUAUAAGAUCACGUGUCAUGUGAUUUAUAAGUCUACUUAAUGGUUGCAAUCAAAUGAGUUCAUGUCCAGAUUUUGAAGUUAGUUAAUUUCAACAUAUAGCAAUGAUUGUAUCCAUUGCUUUUAUGAAGUUGCUAUGUUAUUGCUUCUUUAAUAAGUGGCAGGCAUGAUUUUCUAUUUUUCCACAGCUUAAAUUGUUAAAUAAUUGAUAAUGCUCUUGUGCUUACUCUGUUCUUUUCUUUUUAGAUAAGCUUUAUGGUCCCAGUGGAAUUGUUUUCACCCUUUCUUUAUUGACAGUGGAUGUAUAAAACAAAUUGGUCUUGAUUGAUACUUGAUGAUGUUGUAGUUAUUUCUCUUUGCUUUAUUCUUUUUGCAACAUAUGGAAGACUGAGUAUCGUGAGAUUCAUUUCCCGCACUGCUCUGCCUUGAUCUGUUCUAAUUUGAGAGUCAGCAAUCUUGAUUCAACUUCUUGGGUGGAGUACUAGCUAAGAGAAGGGAGGCAUGGGAGCCAGCACUAAUUUUUGAAUUGAGGAGAUAUGGGCAUCAACUUCAGACUAUUUUCAGAGAGGCUGAGAAGGGCGUUAGCUGGCGAAGAAGUCACAUUGCCUGAUGCUGCAAAACAACCUAUUCAGAACCUUUGUGCCGAGGUUGAAAUCGUUACUCCUUGGCUGAGGGACUUUGAAUAUGAUAUGUCCUGGCUUCUGUUGCAAAAAAAUAGGAGAAGAUGAAAUUGACAACCCAGACCUUGGGACCAGAAAUCAAUUGCUUUACAUAUGAAUCUGAGAAGGUCAUUGACACAUUCUCAACAGCAUCACUCAACAGAAGAGUCAAAGCAGGUGCAACAAGGACAUUUGUAAUGCUCUGCUAGGACUCCAGAGCAUAAUCAAUGAUAUAAAACAGCGGGUGCAACAACUUCAGUACAUCGUUUCCGGAAUCAUUGAUGAUUUCAAAAGUAUUGAAGAUGAAGCCGAUUAUUUUCCUGCAUCAUCAUCUUAUAAGAAUAGGGGCAUGGUGGGUCUAGAAGACAGAAUGGAGGAGUUGUUAGAUAUAUUGAUAGAGGGACCACCUCAGCUUUCAGUGGUGGCCAUCUUGAUAGCAUUGGGUUGGGCAAGGUGGCUUUCGCUGUAGAGGCUUACAGCAGCAGUGAUGUGAAGCAUUAUUUUAAUUGUCACACUUGGGUUCCAGAGCCUUACAGCUAUGAUGCUGAUGAUGACCAAAUAUUAGAUAUCAUUAUUAAGUUUCUAAUGCCUUCAUCUAGGUUGAGUGUAAUAAAGGAUAAAAUUUAUGAAAUGAAAAAAAAAUCUUCAUGAAUAUCUAAUGAUAAAGCGGCAUUUAAUUGUGGUUGAUGAUGUGUGGAGAAUUGAAGUGUGGGAUUUUAUUCGAGAAAUACUUCCGGAUAAUCGGAAUGGAAAUGGGGUACUAAUAACACUCAUUCAAAUUGAUGUCGUCAUCUCAUUUCAGUUCAAAAUCGGACAGAAUAUUUGGCUUGAUUUAUUGUCCACUAGAGGACCAUUGAGAGUUGUUUACCUUUUUGCUUAAAACUUUGUUUUUCUUACUUAUCUGUGUUUCCUGUACAACUGGAGGCAUCCACCAGGUAGUUUUAUCAGUUGUGGAUAUCUGAAGGUUUCAUUCCAGACAAUAGCGAGGCAACUACUGAGAAGUACUUGGAACAACUAAUGAAUAGAGUCUUUGUUGAUGCAAGGAAGAGAAGCGAUGGAGGCAGAAUCAACGCAUGCCCUAUUCGUACUCGUUGCUGGCCUUCAUUGUUGCAAAUGGCUCUCAAAGCAGAAUUUAUCUUUUCCCCUAUCCUGGAUCAAAAAGGUAAAUCAGAAAAAAAUGUCAAACGUGUCUAUGUUUUUUUUUUAAAACAGAGUGAUUUUGCUUACUUAGAUGAUUGUGACUUGCACCUGCAUUCUUUGUUGUACUUCAGAAAGCGACCACCUUGACCCCAUAGAUUGGGUGAAAAUCGGUUGAGUAAUGGACUUGGGAUCUCUUGUUCUCAGCCAAUUUCCAUCCAAAAUUGAAACUUUAUUUCUUUUGAUAUUUGAAGCUGGAUAUCCCUUCCCUCACAAGCCUGGCUUCAUCAUUAUUAAUAAAUCUCUGAAUCUGUACCCCAUAGCCAUGCCCUUUAGCUACAUAGUGUAAAUAUUUAGAGUCUGAAAAUACUAUUUUCUUCUUUCAUUCAUUCUACAAGUUACACUUAAAUAGAAUGUAGAAAACAAACUCCUAAUAGAUAUCCCUUAAUUGUAGGAUACUUAUCUAAGCUUGAAUUUUAAAAAAUGAUUAUCUAAAACUUUAUUUCGAUAAGACUUUAAAACUAAACUAAUUAUCUAAAACUUUAUUCUGAUAAGACUUUCAAACUAACUGAAAAAUCCUAACUUCUUAACACUCCCCCUCAAGUUGGUGCGUAGAUGUCAAUCAUUCCCAACUUGCUGACAAGAUGUCCAAAGUUAGUUUUGAGGAGUCCCUUGGUUAGGAUAUCAGCUAUUUAUUGUUUUGUUGGAAAAAAUAAUAGGCAGAUAAUCUUAUUCUCAAGUUUCUCCUUGAUGAAGUGACGGUCAAUUUCAACAUGCUUGGUCCUAUCAUGUUGUACUGGGUUAUGUGCAAUGUUGAUUGCUGCUUUGUUGUCGCAGUAUAACCUCAUAGGUAAAACUAUAGGUCUUUUCAAAUCCUCGAGAACUUGUUUCAGCCACAAUACUUCACAAAGCCCAUGUGCCAUAGCUCUAAAUUCAGCUUCAGCAGUACUUCGUGCAACCACAUUUUGUUUCUUACUCCUCCAAGUCACUAAAUUACCCUAUACAAAAGUGCAAUAGCCAGUAGUAGACUUCCUGUCUGUAACUGAACCUGCCCAAUCAGCAUCAGUGUAUACCUCAAUACCUCUCUAUUCUCUGUUUUUCUAAACAAAAGUCCCUUUCCUGGAGUACUUUUUAGAUAUAUGAGAAUUCUGUAAACAGCUUCGAGAUGUUCUUCCCGAGGAUGAUGCAUGAAGCGACUUACUAUACUGACUGCAAAAGCGACGUCUGGUCUAGUUUUAGAUAUCGUCGUGCAUCCACUAAGGCUUUUUCUCCUUCACAUAGUUUUAGAUUGUACUCCACAAGCGUAUCAAUUGGUUUGCAGCCACUCAUUCCAGUUUCCUUCAAUAAAUCAAGGAUGUAUUUCCUUUGUGAGACAACUAUACCUUUCUUGGAACGAGCAACUUCCAUUCCAAGAAAGUAUUUCAAGGCACCUAAGUCCUUGAUUUCAAAAUCAGUGGCUAGGCUUUGCUUCAAUCUGUCCAUUUCAACUAAAUCAUCUCCAGUGAGAAUAAUGUCAUCCACAUACACUAUAAGCACAAUGGUUUUACCUUUAGCUGAAACUCUAGUGAACAUUGUGUGAUCAGCCUGACUUUUUUUGUAACAUUGUCUAUUCACAGAUGUAGUAAAUUUCUCAAACCAAGCCCUAGGCGAUUGUUUGAGACCAUAUAAGGACUUUUGCAACUUGCACACAUUUGACCUAAAUUUUUCAGAGAAACUAGGAGGAGGAUCCAUGUAUACUUCCUCUUUUAAAUCCCCGUUGAGAAAUGCAUUCUUCACAUCCCAUUGUUGUAAUGGCCAAUUUAGGUUUGUAGCAAUAGACAAGAGAACUCAUACAGUGUUUAACUUUGCUACUGGUGCAAAUGUCUCUGAAUAGUCAAUCCCAUAGGUUUGAGUAAACUCCUUUGCCACUAGGCGAGCCUUGUAUCUCUCAAGUGAACCAUCUGAAUUGUAUUUGAUAGUAAAUACCCACUUGCAGCCAACUGUUGACUUCCCUUUAGGCAAAUUGACCACCUUCCAAGUCUGAUUCUUCUCAAGAGCAUUCAUCUCUUCAAGGAUAGCUGCCUUCUGUUGAGUGUUAGAAAAUGCAUAUUUAUAAAGGAGAAAACCAUCGUUUUACAUUUCAAGUCUUACUAACAACCCUUACUUUUAUGUAUUUAACCUUUUUGUGAUUUAAUUACAUGUGUUUUAUUUUAAUUAAGUAUUUUAUGUAUUUUAGGGGCAUCAUAGUCAUUUCACAAUAAACGAGAAAUCAGAUGGCAAAACGGACAUCACUUUUGAACUCAGGACGGUCGAAAACCUUAGGAUAAGCAUAAAAGGAAAAAUGGCACUGUUCACUUGUACGGUACUAUUCACGUGUACGGUACUGUAUACGUUACUGUUCAUGACACUGUUCACAUAGACGGAUGAUGACGUGGCAUUGACCGAUGAUGUGGCAUUGACUGAUGAGGUGUCACGAUCCUGUUGGACUAAAAUUCUUAUGUACUGUUGAUGGUGACGUGGCAGCAUAUCAGUGGACGAAAAAUCUCGCGUACGGUGCAUGCAUCACACAGGAUUAUUUUCAACCAAACCGCGUUACUGUUCAAAGUCGGGUCAAACCGUGUUACUGUUCAUCCGCGUGGUCAAACCGUGGACUGUUGACUGAUGACGUGGCGCAAUCCUGAGCGUCCAAACUAUUUUUAAUCCGAUGGCCAUGAUUUACACCAUGUAUCUAUAAAAAGGGGGCCUCUCCCCCCUAAUUUGAUAUCUCUGAAUCCAUUUUUGGGAUCCAUUUUCUGUAAUUCUCUCUCCAUCUUGUAUUUUCUAUGUAUUUUAAUAAAUUCCGAUUUUGCCCCUAGUUCAAUUAUGAGUGGCUAAUUUUCUUUCAAGCUUGGGUUGAAGGUGAAGUCUCAACAUGUGUCAUGGGCUUAAUUUGGUAAAUUUACUUUCUCUUCCCCUCUAGUUUUUGUGGAUGUUUUGACUUCUCGUCGACAAAUAAUACUAAUCUUGUCUAGUACCGCCUUGGUUUCACCGGCCCUCUAGUAUAAGGUUAUUAUUAUUUGGCACGAUAAGCCCUUAGCACCAUAUUGAUUAGAGCGUGGUUCAUGAGGUGUGGAUUCCCCCCUCAUGAUUUAAUUAGCAUUAAUACGGAUUAUUUAGCCCAUGAUGCAUGUUGAUACGGAUCCAGAUACCCAAGUACGUCAUUUCAAUAGAAUUAUCUUUAAUUUAUUCUCGCCAUUGCAAUUCCAAUUUUAGAAUUUAUUCUCGCCAUUUUAAUUUAAGUUUUAGCAUAUACCAAAUCAUUUCCACCAUAAAUCCAACAACCCAUUUACAAAAUUAAUUCUAUACACAAUUAAAAUCCACCUCCUCGUGGGAUCGACACUCGUCACCAUAGAUCUAUACUACAAUAGAUUCGUGCGCUUGCGAGUACAUUAAAAUUUGCACAACACCUUCCAUUCAGGUACACUUAGAGCAUCCUGUACAUUUUUUAGAAUUUCUACACUAGAAUGCUGUGAGGUAAAUGCAUAGAAAGGAGGUGAUAGGUUGUGAUAUGAAACAAAGUUAGACAAUGGGUAUUUGGCACACACUAUUAAAAAAAUGACUUUUACUGACACUUUGGAAAAAGUGUCAAUAAUUACCUAAUUAUGCAUCAUUUUCCGCUUUUUACAAAUAGAUGUCACAAAUUAUUAAUAUUAAUGUAUCAAUAAAUUAAAUAUCAGAGAUCGCUGAUACUUCAGUAUCAGAGAUUUAAAAAAAAUCAUUAAAAUUUGUUUUGAUUUUUACUCGAACCUGGACUUCUAAAACUCAAAACUUUUACGUUUAGAUCGCAAACCGCUGGACGCCAUAAAAUUGAAUUGGAAUUACAAUGUUAUAUAAAAUGUUGACAUAUAAAAAACCAAACCCUAAUUCCCCUUCUCCAUUGUGCAAUAGAGCCCAUGCCGCAGCCGCUGUGUAAUUUCCUUGUCUUUCUUGACUUCUUCUCUAUCGUGAAAGAUGGAGAAUGACCAAGCCCAAACGCCCACAUCCACGGCCGCGCCCAACCUCCACGGCCACGCCCAACCUCCACGGCCACGCCCACCCCCACGUCGUUGCCUCUAUCACUUUCGUUCAAGUGGUUCGACACUGCAGGUACUAAAUUAAGAAUUUAAAGCAUGUAAAACGAAAGUAAAACAUAUCCCAAACUUAGCAAUUGUCCCCAUCUCGCUGUCUUUUAUACACACAAAUCUCUAACCCAAACUCAAACCCAAAAUUGUCUCUUGCCUUUCUCUUUCUCUUUCCUUUUUCUCUUCUCGAUCUCUUCCUUUUUUUUUUUUGGUCCAUUCACAAACUCGUUCAUUUAACUCAAAUAGAUAAUAUAAAGCUAAAACCUAAAGUGAGGCUUUUCUUUCCUUUUUCCUUUUUUUCCCAAAUUGAAAAAUGGAUCAAAACAAUAAUCGGGGCUUCUUUCAGCAAAUUAUUUUUCUUUUUAUGGUCAAAUUUCACUUUUUUUUGUUCAAUAUUCGAAACCCAUUUGCUUGAAUUUGAAUAAAAUUAUUGAGAAAUUAGUUAAUUUUCUUGCUAUGGAAGAGAUACCGCACCUUAUACGUAGACAUGUGAAGGAGAUUUUCAAUGACUCUAAGGGCAAACAGGUUGCCUUGAUUAAGGCUUUAACUGUUGGUAAUGGCUUAAUAUUUUAUUUUCUUUGUCAAAUUAAUUAACAGGUUUUUUUAUUUUAGCUUAUGAUUAUUAGGGUUUUUUGUUAAUUUUAAUUUUCUGGGUUGUUGCAGAUGUUGAGAAACUCUACCAGUGUGCAGUCUUGGUAGGAUUUCUUUUCCAUAUCUAUUUUUUGUUUAUUUAAUUGUAAUUUGAAUUUUUUUCUUUUUUUCCUAUAUUUCUAUAUUAUAAAGAUUGAAUGGUUGUGUAUUUAGUAAUUAUUACAUGUUAUUUACUGCUCUGUUUCAUGUAAAGAGAAGCAAAUUAUGUUAUAGAAACCAACAUGUUUAUUUAUUUAUUUUUUUCGGUUGGAAGAUUUUUAAUAGAGUCAAUGACUAUGAUAUGAAUUACCUAAGUUCAUGCUUGUCUGAAUGUUUUGAGAUUGCACAAAGUUCAUGAUUUGUCUUUAAUUCAAGAAGAAAAUGCUUGUUUUUAGGUAGUUUUGCUUGUUGUAGCACUUGGAGACUUACAUUUUCUUUCUUCAUUUGCACGGUUAGUUUCGCUCUUAUUCAAAAGUUUAUGUGUUUCCUCACUUGCAUGGUCAUUAAUUCAUUCCAUGAUUUUUCUUCUAUAAACACACUUUUAUUUGCCUUUCACUAGUUUGAAGGACUUUAUUUUUUUUAAUUAAAAAAUUCCAAAGAUUGAAAUGAAUUGAAAUUGCUGCUAUAAUGUACUUUCUUUGCUGCUGAAGUUCAAGGAAUGUCUAUUUAAAUGAACUAGAACUUGAAAAAUCUUGUAGUGUUGUUGUACCCAUAGACUUCAUUUUUUUUCUUGCACAUUACACUUAUUUUGUUCAUCUUCUUACCUUCAAUUUGUCGUAGAGGUAAACAAUGCUUGACGGGAAAUGGAGGUUUGCAUUUACAGCGGCUGAAUCUCAUGAACAAGAAGUUGGCAAACUGAGGUCUAUAUUUUUUCCUCAAAUUCAUAGUUGAAUUCAUAGUAAGCUCAAAGCAAUUGAUUGAGGGAGAAAGUAAAUUGAGUUUUAUUUAUUAGUACAAUUUUUGUUAUUCAGUGCUUUACACUCUUCAUGACAACUUCUGCGAUCUUGUCCUAUUACCUUAAGGUACUACUGGAUAUUUGAGAAAAAAUUAAAAAUGAUUAAGCUUAUCUUUCUUUGAUGGUAGAAUUACAGUAUGUCUCCUCACUUAUUGUAGUUCAUCCAAUUUUAUUUUUGUUGCGCAGUCUGUGGAAAUCAGAGUACCACAUUUAAGAGUUUUUAUAAAAUGUCUCCUUUACCUUUCCUAUUAUUUAAACUAAUUUCAUGUGUUUUUCUUUAGUUAAUGAUUGAUUUUCAAGCAAUUGAAGGAAAGUAACUUGUAGAACCUCCUUCUAAAAUUGGUCUGGAACCUUUGUGUGCAAUGGUUAGUGAAAUCAUAAUCCGUGGCUUGUGUUAAUAUGCAUCGAUUGUGUGAAAACUAUUGUUUACUAUUUUCUGUGGCUGGUUAUUAACAUGAUUCACAGAUAAACAACAAUAGACUCAUACCCAUAUGCUUGCUUGCUUUCAACAUGCACUUUCUUUCUUUUUUUCUGUAGUUUUUUUUAUGCGUCUCUCUUUGAAGAAUAAUAUUAUUAGCUUACACGAAAAGGGGGAAAUUGCCGUUAUCUUGCUGCAAGUUUUGUCCCGGUUCUAUAGUUCUACUAUUUUGUAUCACCUUGGAUGACAUGUCGAGUGAAUCCUGAAACAUCAUUUGUCAACCUUUUGAUUCAGUAAUAAUUUAUUAAUUUUGAGAAAUUAGUUUCAUUUUAUCUUGUUUGUACCUAUAAUGCAUUGUGUUCAAUGUUCUUGAAAUUUUUGGGCAUGGCUGCAAACAAAUUUAGCAGUUUUUAAUAGCCAACUAUAGAGACACUUUAAAAUUUGUUUGGGUGAUGAGUUUUUAUGGUUUUGUAAUUGGGGUGAAGGGUAGCAAAUAUCAAUCUUGUCUAAAGAGCACUUGUGUAAGAUUACUUUUGAGUAUAGUGGGGCAGCCUAUAUUAGUAUUUUUAUGAAAUAAGCAGAAAAAGGAAUCCCUUUCUGCUGUUAGCAAUAAAAAUAAUUUUCAAAAAUGUAAAUACCAAGCUUUCUAGUUGUCACCGUUAUUUGCAAAGAUCUUUUCAAUGUAUUUGUAGAUCCCAACAUAUCUUGAUGCAUGAUCAAUUAGUAUAUGAUAGCAUGGGUGAUGAUCUUUCCAUUUGCUUCUCUUUUUCUAUUUUUUUUGGGCAUCAUCGUCUAACGUAAGCAGGCCUCCUCCAUGUUGAUUUUUUUUAAAGAGUUUGGAGCUUAUGCAUUCGCAAUUCUAAAACAUGGGCCAAUAUGCUUUCUACUUGUUAAUCUAUUUACUUAUUGUCAAUUUUGCAGGUUAAUUUUGAAGAUGCGCAGAGAGGUUUUGUAGAGGUUGGGAAGGUAUUUAAAACUUAAAGCUUUUAAUUCUUCUUUCCCCUGCUUAAUAUAUGUUUUCCCUAUAUAGUGUUUCAACAUGACCUGAUUUCAUGCCGCCUCAUUUAUUCCAACAUCCAUAAACACUGAAAUUGACCUGAUUAGUUUUUCUCCCAAAAAUCCAAGAAUUAUUUUUUUGUGGUAUACUAAUUGAUUUUAUGUACUUGUAGGUGGAAAAAGAAAAAUGAAGCCGCUUGUGGAUGUUCAGUGACAUUAUGUGCUUCUUUUUGUUGGUUAAUAUUUGUUGAAUCUUAGCUUAGUACUUUGUAGUUCAGAGCUUGUCCAAGACUUAAUUUAGUACUUAUAUUUGUCUUUUCCAAACAAUGAUGUAGUUGAAUUAUAUGAAUUUAAGUGAUGGAUUUGAGAUAUUUCUUAUGUAAUUGUGUUGCGAGAUUUUGUAUAUUUUAAUAUACUUUGAGUUUUCCUUUGGUUGUAAAACGAACAAGAAAAUAUAAUUAAAAUAAAAGUAUACUAUUAACCAAAAGAAUCAUAACAUCAUUGAAUACUGACACUAAAUGUUUAAAAUGACAUUAAUAAUUUUUGAUGUUAUUGAGUCAGUGUGUUCUUGAUAUUGUAGUCUCAUAAAUUAUUGACAUAAAUAGUAUCAUUAAAUACUAAUGCUAUCGUGUCAUUAUUUUAGUGAUACCAUAAUGACAUGAAUUACUGACACAAAAAUCAUUGACACUAAAAAUUAGUGUCAGUGUGUUUUGGCUGGAGCAUUAUUGACACAAUUAACAAGUGUCAGGAAAAGUAAUUACUGACACUAAAUUAGUGUCAGUAAAGUCCAUUUUUCUAGUAGUGACAACUUCUAGUACCUUUCCUAAGAGCAAUAGGUAUGUCCAGAUCACUAAGAACCUGAGAAUUUAAAUUUAACUCACAAGAAGGAUUAGAAUUACAAUUACCUGAGGAAGAAGAAGUUUGAUUUGACCUUGGAUUGGAAUCAUGGCCUUGCUGCAAAGUAGGGUUUUCUCUUCUUUGAUUAGUACCCUUUCUUGAGUAAACAAUAAACUCAGAUUGUUUAUUACCCUGUCUUGCACACAAAUCUGGUUCUAAUGGCACAUUAGAGGGCUGUCCAGGUUGAUUAGCAUUUACAUUAUCAGAUUUAGUGAGGUUUUCUUGUGGUUCGGGUGCAUUAGGUUCUAAUAUGGGAUCAAGAAUGGUAUAACCAGGUAUAGCAAUGUUAGGAACAUGUACAACAGUAUUAGGUUCAGGUAUGGCAGCCUCGAGACUUUUUUCUGGACGGAGGGAGUCUAGCACAGAAGAAAUAGAAGGGUUUUCUAGGUGAAUAGUGUUAAAGAUAGAAGGGGUUUCUAGGUGAGUAGUGUUAAAGAUAGAAUCUUCACUCCUAUUCUCCCCCUGAAGAUGACUAUCUACAUAAUAUCUUCGUUUUUCAAAAAAUGUAACAUCCAUGGUAACAAACAUUUUUUUUUAAAAUAGGAUCAAAACAUUUAUAACCCUUUUGUGUUGGAGAAUAUCCAACAAAAAUGCAUUUUCUAGCCUUUAGAGCAAGUUUGCCCCGAUUCUGGUUGUGAAUAUGAACAAAAGCAACACAACCGAAUAUUUUGGGCGGAAGUGUGACUGAAAUUCGUGAGGUAGAGAAACAUUGAUUAAAGAAAUCAGAUAGAGUUUAAAAUUGUGGAACUUUUAAAGGCAUUCGAUUUAUCAAAUAGGCAGCGGUGAGUACAGCUUCCCCCCAUAAAUACAUAGGAACUUGAUUUAUAACAAGUAAGGAUCUAGCAACUUCAAGAAGAUGCUUAUUUUUGCGUUCAGCAAUUCCAUUUUGUUGGGGGCUAUCCGUACAUGAACUUUGAUGAAAUAUGCCAUUUUCCACAAAAAAAUCUCCCAAAAACUUGUUAAAGUAUUCUUUCCCAUUGUCAGUUCGGAAAACUUGAAUUUUAGUUUGAAACUGAGUUUGUACCAUGUUGUUAAAAGUUAAAAAUAAUUCACACCUAUGAUUUUUCCUUCAUUAAAUAUACCCAAGAAAUAUGGGUAUGAUCAUCAAUGAAGGUAAUAAACCAUCUUUUUCCUGUUAAUGUAGAAAUUCUAUUAGGUCCCCAAACAUCACUAUGAAUCACAGAAAAAGGUUUUGAGGCUUUGUAGGGUUGGGAAGGAAAUAAUGCACGAUGAUGUUUUGCUAAUUCACAAAUUUCACAUUUAAAGGAAGAAGAACUUUUAUUAGCAAACAAGUUGGGAAAUAAAUAUUGCAAAUACUGAAAACUAGGAUGGCCUAACCUAAAGUGCCACAACAAAACUUCAUUGUCAUUAUUAACAACAGAAACAGAAUUGAAACAAAUACGUGGAGGUUGUUGUCUCAAACUUGGUACUUCUUCAAAGAAAUACAGCCCCCCACUUUGUCUAGCACUGCCAAUCAUCUUCCCCGAGGUCAAAUCCUGAAAUUCGCAAUGAUUUUGGAAGAAACUAGCACAACAGUUCAGGUCAAGAGUUAAUUUGCUAAGGGACAAAAGAUUGCAAGAUAGGUUAGGAACAUGCAGAACAUUAUGAAGAGUGAGAGUGGAAGAAAGAAUGAUAGACCCUUUUCUAGCAAUAACCGAAAGGGAUCCGUCAGCGAUCUUAAUUUUUUGAUUUCCUGCACAUGGCUUAUAGGCAGAAAACAAAGAUGGAGAGCCUGUAAUGUGAUCGGUUGCUCCUGAAUCGAUAAUCCAAGAACAAGGAUUCGAAUGAUGAGAAACAAGGGCAGCAGAAAGAUAAUUACCUUUUUGAGUUAAUGAGCAAGAGGGAGUAGAUGAAUUGAAGGAUGAGGAUUGAAACAAUUUAUACAAGUGCUCUAAUUGAUCCUUGGUGAAAGGUGAUGACUCUGAAGAACCUAAUUUCUCUUUAUCUGAAGUAGCUUGGAAGGCUCGUCCAUCACCUCCUUGUUUCUUCUUCACAUGAGGAGGCUUGCCAUGUAACUUCCAGCAAGUUUCUCUUGUAUGCCAAGCCCUUUUACAGAAGUUGCACCAAGGUUUCUUUGAAUUCCUUCGAUCUCCAUCAGGUUCAGGUGCCUUUAAAAUAAGAGCAGAACUCUCUGAACUCUCUACUUCACUGGUGGCUUUAACAUCAUUAAGCAUGACAUUCCGUCGCGCUUCUUCUCUUCUUACCUCAGAAAACACUUCUCAAAUAGAUGGAAGGGGUUUCCUGCUCAGAAUUAUGCCUCUCACUUUGUCCAAAUCACGGUUUAGCCCAGCUAAGAACACAUAUACUUUGUCAUUUUCCAACAUCUUUUUAUACCUUACACUAUCACUCGAACAGUCCCACUGCUCAUCAUAGCAAAGAUCUAAUUCCUGCCAAAGGAUCAACAGUUCAUUAUAGUAAGUUGUGACCAACCAAUUACCUUGCUUGGAUUGGCACAAUCGAGUUUUCAACUCAAAUAUCUGAGAUGAAUUUUCUAAAUCAGAAUAGGUAUCUCGGACUGCAUCCCACACCGCCUUGGCUGUCGGUAAGAACAGAUAAGGCUUACCAAUCCUAGGCUCCAUUGAGUUUAUCAACUACGCAAUAACCAUCGAAUUUGUUGAUCCCCAGGUCGAAAGAGAAGGAUCUCCAGUAAUUGGUUUUGUUACUUCACCAGUCAAAUGCCCCAGCUUUCCCUUUCCAUCAAUUACCAACUUAACGCACUGUGCCCACUCUAAGUAAUUUUUUCCAUUCAAUUUAUGAACAAUUAGUUGCAAAGAAAAGCUAUCCUGGUUAUAUUCAGACUGCUGCAACAGCGGCUGAGGAGUUCUGGUGUUACUAUCAUCAUCUUCGGCGGUAGAUGCCGAUGAGCUCUUUGUAGCUCCAGUCAUGGCAGUUUUCACCAUUGAAAAAUAGACCUCUAAAUAUUCAUUGCUCUGAUACCAUGUAAAUAUUUAGAGUCUGAAAAUACUAUUUUUCUUCUUUCAUUCAUUCAACAAGUUACACUUAAAUAGAAUAUAGAAAACAAACUCCUAAUAGAUAUCCCCUAAUUGUAGGAUACUUAUCUAAACUUGAAUUUAAAAAAAUGAUUAUCUAAAACUUUAUUCCGAUAAGACUUUAAAACUAAACUAAUUAUCUAAAACUUUAUUCUGAUAAGACUUUCAAACAAACUGAAAAAUCCUAACUUCUUGACACAUAGAUCAUACUGCAGAUGAAUUUUGGAAGAUGAACAAACUCAGGCAUCUAGUCAUUGAAGAUGGUGAAUGAAAGCACGAUGCCAAGGCUCUCCAAAAUCGUCCUUGCCAAAUACCUACUUCCUCAAAGUCUAAUCCCCUUGAGUUUCUCUAAUACUGAACAAAUGGAUGAUCCCAUGCCUGUGCUAGAAAAGUUGCCACUUCUUCAAAUGCUCAAACUGAAGCAAAAAUCAUAUUCAGGUAGAUAGCUGACUUGUGGGUCUGAUGGUUUCCCAAAGCUCAACAUAGUGCACUUGAAUUCAAUGCCAUGCCAUUUAAACAAAUUCGAGUGUUGGUGGCCUCAGCCGGAGCUGAGACAAAAGCUACGGGACUUUGAGGAUAAGGCGCAGUAUGACAAUCAAGUAUAUCAUUAUGGAAUUUGAUUUGCAUGGAUUUAAUUAGAUGUAAGUUUUUCAUUUUAUACAAUAUCAUCAACCUUUAAUUAUUAAUCUAAUUUCAUACAUAUGUUUUUUCUUCUCCUCAAUAUAUUUGAUAGUACGCAGCUUCCUAAUGCUAUCAAGUGUUUUCUAAUUGUAGUUGCUUCUAAUUUUUGUCUCAACAUUAGAGAUGAAGUGUUCAUCACAGUUCCUGAUGCUGACCCCGACCAUUUUCCCUUGUCUAUUGAUUGUUGAACAGUCAGGAAAAACUAUAAUUUCAUUUCAGAACCCUUGUGUAUUGAUCGUUGAGCAGUGAGGAAAAACUAUAAUUUCAUAUCUUAAAUUACUUGCGCCGGUGAAAUCAGAGCGGGAAAUAUGUCAACUGUAGUGCAGCAAAAGUUUCAAUUUCAACUAGAAUCCGGCCUUGAUCCUUUUAGUAUUCACUUCUGCUAUCUACACAUUAAUGAGUCCUUAGGAUUGAUGCAGGAUAUUAUUGGGUUUCUUUGUUUUCAAGGAUCUGCUACAAGCAAUAAUGUCAAGUUUUUGGAUUCACUGUGUAUAUUUUAUUCAUGUGUCUUCAUUCUUGUAAUGUGCUUGAAACUCCACCUUAGUGUGGACGUGUGUGGUUUGGUCGUACCAUGUGCAAUACAUGUAAAUUGUCAUAAUUGUCUUAAGGGAAUUCUGCAUCACUUCCAUUAGAAGAAAACUUUGGAUGUAGGCACCAUUGCCGCUGAAUCUACUUUUGAUUUGCUCCAUGUUUUCUAUAUUUUUUUAAUUCAAUUUUGGAGAUAGGGUUUCUAGCAUUGAUUGUUGAUACAUCAGAGGACUAAAUACAAGAAAUAAAAACUGGGGCAUAUUGCCUAAUCUUCAGAAUCUCCAAUUUUAUGGAGAUUUAAGCCCUUAUCAUUCAUAAAUAACUUGAGUGUUGGAUUGUUAUUAUCUUAGAUUCUCUAAAUAAUAAUCCGAAUAAGAAUGUUGGAAAAAUAUUGAUUAUAAAUACUUGUUUUGAACAAAUACUACCUAUUAUUUUAAAUUUUGGACUUAGAAAUUAUAAAUAGUAUUAGCAUGUGAAUUUUAAGGUAUUAGCUGAUUCUGUCCAAUUUUAGAGGUUGAUCCAUCAUGCUAAACUUAGUCAUUGGUUUUUGCUGAACAAAUGAAUGUGUAUCAUUUUUUUUUCCUCUUUUUUUUCUGUUAUACUUUGAUUCCCCUGCUUCUAGCUGAUUCUGUUCUCCUUUAUAACGAGAAAGAAGUUGUCUUUUGUGCUCUUAUAUAUACAUGUUAAGCCUGGAUAUGUGUGGUUUUGUUUGUUUUAAUAAUAUGAUUGUGUGGUGUCAUCUGUAAUACUUUUUAAGGGUGCAAAUCAAAUGAGUUUAUACCUUAUAGUGAAUUUGGUUAAUUUCAAGAUAUCAUUUUUUGGGAUCUUCGGCUCUAGUUGCUAAUACAAAAUUCCUCAAAUCUCGUUUGGAAUUUGGGAGUCCGUCCUAAAUGAUACAAGAUUUGAUAAAAAUUUCUCAUUCUGAUUUAUUAAUCGAGUUGAGAUUCAAGAUCUAGUUUUCUUCUAAUUUAAUAUUCAAGACGGGAUUUGAGACGUCUGAAAAUCUCAUUCGAGAUCCCUUAGGCAAUCAAAUGAGUUCAUAUCCUUAUAAUGAAUUUGGUUAAUUUCAAGAUACCCUUUUUUGGAAUCUUCCGCUCUAACUGUUAAUACGUGAACCUAGGCUGGCAAAAUUAUCCAGAUACCAAUCGAGAUACAAACCCUAUAUAAGAUUUGUUACAAAUUUCUUAUCCCUAUUUUCAAUGUAGGUCAGGAUUUGGGACCCCAUUUUAUACCGAUUGAUAAAUUUCUUUAUUUAGACAAUAACUGAUGACAGAUUAUUAGUUUAAAGCUCAUGGAGUAAAGGUUGAAUUAUUGGUUCAAUCAUCCGUAAUUUUCUGCAAGCAUGCAAUAUAUUAAACAAGAGAUUAUUUAAUUAUUUUUUGGGUUCUGUUAUUAACAAUAAUGAUUUUGAAGAUAUUAGUGGGAGAAAAAUGGUUCUUUUAAAUCAUUUUCAAUCUUGAGAAAAAGUUUUCUUGCUGCCAUACACUGUCCUUUCUCUAUAUUUAUAUUUAAUUCAUAUGUACAUAUAUCAUACAUACAUUAAAUGAGUGUAAUUCAAUAAAAACAUUCUAUGAUCUUUCUGCUAUAUGAAAAAUAACCUAAAAAAUAUAUAUAUACAAUUACACAAGCUCUAUUAAUACUCUACCAAUUAAAUUGAGCACGUGUUCUUUUUAAUAUCCUCAUUUCAGCUAAUUGUAUCCAGCCCAGUGGCCGCAUUUUUUUUUUCUCUUUUUGUGUGUGUGUGUAACCAAAGCUUUUUAUCUUUCAUUUGCAAUUUGAGAACCCAUUAGCCAGACAAUUAAAUGCAGAUUCCAUGAAUUUUGCACCGUUGACUUAACUCGAAGAGUAAGACUUCGAUGUAACUACGGAGUCAACAAAUAUGCUUGUCAUGGAAAAUCUCAUAACGCGUACAUUUACUUUUUCAUAUAUUGUGUCUCUAUUCUACCUCUCCAACUUAAAAUUCCUUGCUCGUGUUUUAAACAUGACAUAGAAGUUCUGGUUUGGAAAUGGUAGAGAUAGUUAGAUGUCACAGUUGCAUACAAGUGUACACAAUUUCUUUGUCAAAUAAAAUCUAGUCACAUAUUUAUUCUAAAACUUAAUUAUAAACUAUGAAUAAAUAAAAAACAGUGGACAUAAUUUUAUUGACUGUCCCAUUAAAUCCGUCGCACCUAAUUUUAUUUGCUUGCAGUGGGACGACUUUAAAUGUUGUCAUGUGGCUGCACAAAUGGACUAAUUCCUGUCACAACUUGAUAGUCUAUAUUAGCGCGGACUGUUGUGACAAAUGAACCUCUAUUUCGAUUGCGUACUCCAAUAUGUUAAAAAAAAGAAAAAAGAAAAUAAAAAGAAAAUAGGACAUCAUCAAGUAUCAAUCAAAGAUCAAUUUGUUUUAUCCACUUUCAAGAAAGAAAAGGUAAAAACAAUCCCACUGGGGACCAUAAAGUUUAUCUCAAAAGAAAAAGCACUACAAUAGUCGAACACAAAGAAGAGUAAUAAUGAGAAAGGAGUUGCAUAUAAAUUGAAGAUUUUUAUUUUUUUUAAAGAAGGGCCCGACAUCAUGAUUGCUUUCAUUUAGGAAAGGAUAUAUGAAAAAGAGAUGAAUAUUGCACUUUAGAUUUGGAUAAUUCCGAUUGGAUUUUGAAUUGUUUGGAUUAGGAAAAACAAAUCAUUCGAAUCCAACCUGAAUCUCAAAUACAAUCGAUCGGAUUUAAAAUAAAUCAGAUCUGAUAAAUAUUUCAGAUACAUUUAGUUUCAGAUUGUUUCGGAUUUAAAUGAUAUUUUAGAUUCAAAUGGUAUUUUAAGUUCAGAUUGAAUUUGUAUUUGGGUCUUUUUGAUAAUUUUUACAUAAAAUUCAUAAAAUCUAUAUAUAUAUAUAUGAGUAGUGCUAAAUGUCGGGAAGGCUGAGAUAACCCUGAGAGAAAUGGUAGCUUGUGCUGCCAUUUCGCGCGUGUUCUCUUGGCCCCGCCCCCCAUGUUUCUUUCUCUUUUCUUUUUAACUUAACGUUUGCUGUAGUCAGCCUUUUGCUGCAGUCAACUCAUCUCUCCAGCACCAAAAACUACCGUAUCUUCUCCCUCCCCUCAAUUUCAUCGGCACUCUCUCUCAUCAACGGCAUCGUUACCGACAGCCACCUCUUUCUCUUCAGCUCGUCACGACAGACACCACCAGUUUGGUUCGUCACUUCGUCCGGAUCUCUCCAUUAUUCCAAGUGUGUUUCCCCUAUUUUUUGUUCUAAAAAACCCAAAAAAAUGAAGAACAACACCUGUAUUGAUUUCGAUUUUUUGAUUCCAAGUCAAAGGGGUGCUUGACUUUUAAUUAUACAAGAUAGAAGAUGAAACCAAAUUUUGAUGUUGAUGAAGAAGAAGAAACAAAACUGACAGGAGGAAGAAGAAGAUAAUUGUGAUGAUGUUGUUGAUGAAGAAGAUGAAAUUGACGAUGGAGAGAAGUAACGAAGAAAUUGGAGAAGAGAGAGAAAGAAAAAAGAGAAGAAGAAGAAGGUAAAAGAAGAAAAAAAUAUAAGAGAGAUAAAAUAAUAUAAAAAAAAGAGGAAAUGUUUAAAGUAAAGUGGGGGUGGGGCCAAGAGAACACGCGUAAAAUGGCAGCACAAGCUGCCGUUUCUCUCAGGGUUCUCUCAGCUUUCUCGACGUUAAGUAUUUUCCUAUAUAUAUAUAGUAGUGCAAUCUAAUCGAAUUGUUUAAAUUAAAAUGGAUCCAAUCCAUCGAAUGCACAAAUUUUAUCCAAUCGGAUAUAAAUGGCAACAUCCAAAUCCAAAUCAGAUCGAAUCAUAUCUAUCCGAAUCUGAUCCAUGCACACCUUUAGCCCUAUUGGAAUGAUUAUCUAACGAUUCAAACUAUAACGUAUUUUGUUGUAGUUUGUAGAGCGCUUGAAAAGAAAAUCUCUAAACAAUAGUGACUAUUAUGAAUUAGAUGCAUCAAUCAAUUGUUGAAAAUUGAUUAAAAACAAAAAAAGAAAGGUUGUUGACCAAAAUUUGUUGAUCAAAUUUGAUGGCUAAGCCACCAAUUUUGAUCAAAAUUGGUGGGCAUAGUUAGGCAAGUUUUUGCCUAUAAAUAGGAGGGUGCUCCUCCUCACUUUUGUAUCCAAUUGAGAGCAUUCAAUUGGUGAAUGCAAGAAAAGCAUUGAGAGCUUCUAAUGGGAGAGAAAUAAUCUUAAGCAUGUAGAUGUAUUAUAGGAGUAUUUGGCUCCUCAAUGUGGGUAUUACGGGUUUGCUCUGUUAAAGAAUAUUUUUCGGGAUCAUGUAUUUGGGGCUUGGGUGAGAAAAAUUAUUUCUGAAAGUGUGGUUGUAAUAAUUUUUCACAUAAUGAAUAUUUUUUUCUCUGGUUGUCUUUUGAUAACGGCCGUAGUUUUUUUUCUGGAUUUAGAGUUUUCCAUGUAAAUCUUGUAUUGUGUGACUAAUGUAUUCUCCGUUUAAUUUUUUCUGUUAAUUUAUUGUUUGACAAAUUGUUUGUAGUGAUCUUGGGAGAAAACUCAAUUUCCUAACACGAAUCAGAUUCUAAGGAGAUGUUUUUUCUCUCUAUACAAGCUUUAUGGUCCCAGCGGAAUUAUUUUUAAUCUUUCAGUCUUUUGAGAGGGCAAAAAAGAAACUAGUCUUGAUAGCCUAUUUUACUUUCUUCAUACACAUAUAUAUAAAACACAAAUUAUAAGACACCCUUUUAUCUUCUUGCAUAAAGAAUAUUUUAUAUACACGUGCAUUAUACCUCAGGUUUUGUGCAGAAAAUCAUUAUUGUAAUGUUUUGGGAGAGAUUAUUUAGUGUUAGACAUUGGAAUUUGUGGGUUUGUUUGAAUAAGAAUUUGAGGUAUUUUAGUUUAGAAUCUAUGAGUAAGGAUUACGAUUUGUAAGUAACAUCCUUCUUCACGUGCUCCGCACGUGUUAGUUUUGGGGUGUAACAUAACUAGAUCCUAAGAUCUCGAUCCACAGCUUAGUAAUCUGCAGAUACUUCAUACGAAGCCGAAUCCGCUGAAUCAGGAGUAAGAAUCUUAUAUACGUGUAAGAAUAAAAAUAAAAAGUUGGAAAAAGAAGCUCAAAGAAUUUUAAAUUGAAAAGUUGAUUUUCAUGUGCGGAACAAGGGCUUCAGAUUAAAUUGUUGAAAAAGUUUUGUAGUAAAAUAUUUUUGUUUUCAUAUGAUUUUUUAAGAAAAAAGAAUAUAUAAGGUUUUUUGUGGAAUUAACAUAGGUGUUGUUAAAAGUAGUGUGAUUUACAUAUAGGGGCGGGCAAAAAAAUCGUGCACUAGAGAAAACAAAACUGAACUGAUCCGAACCGUUCCAUUCGGAUCAGUUUUAAUUUUAAAAAAUAAACGAAAUAUAUGGUUUGUAAAAAGAAUCGAAAUGUAGGUUUGGUAUUUGGUUCACUUAGCUGAACCAAAAAACCGAACUAAAAAACCAGAUUGUUCUUGGAAUUUUAUUUAAAUAGACAUGUGUUAAAUUUUAAUUGGUUGCGUAAGAUAACUAAAAUAGGCAUGCACACACACGAUUAUGGGUAUAUAUAUAUGUUACAAUUUCUGCACCCAAAACAAACCUAAAGGCUAAAAUCAAAAACGAAAUCAACUCGCAAGCCAAAUCCUUUUAGGAGUUCUUUAACUCAUAAAACAGUCAAGUCAUUAAUCUGUACUCAAAAUUGGUUUUACUCAACUCUCUUAGGAGAGCAUACAAUACAACCAAGUCAGGAGGAAGCUGAAUUCUAUGAAUUAGUUGAAACAUGUAAUAUUGUAAUUUAUUAUGUUAUUUUUUGUUACUUAUAACAUUUUGUAUAUUAGAAUUAAUGAUUUUAAUAUAAUUGUUUCAAUUUCUUGAAGAAUUGUUUAGGCUAAUGCAAUCUCAACAACAACAAGUAGCUGAGGAGUAAAUGACAGUUGACUGAUGUUGCUGACCAGUAAGUUUUCUUUAUUUUUUUUUAAAAAAUAGUAUCUUAUUUAUAUAGAUUUUUAUUUAAUUAUUUAUUUUUUUAAAUUUUUUUUAUAGAUCCAAAUAUUGAGUUGGAAAAUGCCUAAAGUUGAUACUGAUAUUGAUGGGGAUAGGAGAAUGUUGUUGUCAUUUGUUUGCAAUUUAAAAAAAAAAAAUUUUGUGAAGAUGGGAGAAUGUUGUUGGUGUUUGUUUCCAAAUUUUCUUUUUAUUUUGUGUUGUAAGUUUUAAUUGUUGUUAUUUUUAUUUGUCUUUACAACAUUAUGUUUAUGUAAAUGGAGUAUUGGAGUUUAAUUAUGUAUUUUGAACUCUUAAUAUUUCAUAUUUUGUAAGUAUCUUAUUAGUAGUUAGUAAGAUAUUAGUGAUAAAAUAUGUUUUGAAUAUUUUGUAUUUAUUGUUAAUAUUUGUAAUGAAAUUAGGAUAAAUUAAUUGUUGAAAAAAAUAAUUACAUUCAUGAGGCCUAAUGAGCUAAAAAUUUAGAAAUUCAAAAUAGGCCCAAUAGGCCCAAAACCGAAAAAAUCGAACCGGACCGAACCGAUCUGAGAAGAUCCGUUUAUAUUCGAUUUUUAUUGUGUUCGGUUCUUAUUUGGUUCUUUUAAUAAAAUAACCUAUUUAAAUCGAUUUUGCUUAAUUUCGAUUCGAACCAAACCAGACUGAACCAUGCCCACCCCUAUUUACAUAUGUUUUUAAUCGUGUACUUUUAGAAGAGAGGCUUUACGAGGAGUUUAAAGUGGUGCUAAUAGUUUCACUUAUUGACAAAUGGGUCAAAAAACAUCCAAAAGCUUCAAAGACCUUUCAUAAUACUUGGAACACAAAAUAGUUAAUUAUACUUUACAAAAAAAUUUGUUUUUUAACAUUUUACAACUCAAAACACGCUAGAAGAUCUUUAAUAUUUCUUAGUUUACUAUAAGAUACUAUAAGUAUAUAUAACAAAACAAGAAUAUAUUGAUUGAUACCAUAUAUUUGAUACAAGUGAAUAGAAAAUCUCUCACUUGAUAGAAUAUAUAUAGCAUAUGACAAGUUACAUACAUCUAAUUUUCUGCAUGCAUAUGGAAAAAAAAUUAAUUGUUUAAAUUUCUAAUUUGUCAAAUCAAGGUUUGAUUUCUGAAUUUUUUUAGUUGUUAAGUGGAUUAAAUUUCCCCCCAUAUACACUGUCUAGAGAAACUCAUGAAUCUAAAUAAACCAAACCCAUAUUAAAUUUAAUGAUAUCAUUAUCCUCAGACUCUCAGUUUUGCACUUUUGCUUACAUAAACAUUAUGGAACUUAAACUUAAAUCCACUUUUUUCAUCAUUCUCUUGGUGGCCUCAUGUUUGUUCCUUAAUCUUAUUUUCCUCAUCUUUUUAAUGCAUCCAUAAUUAACUAUAAUAUGACAACUAAUUGGCUGGCAUUUAUAUAUGCAGGCGUGUUAUUAGCAUUAGGCUAAUUAAUUGAUUGCCAUUUAUAUAUGCAGGUGUGUUGUUUGAUAUUUUCAUGCCGGCAGUUGAUGCUCAACCGGAAUCAAAAGCAGUCACUUGUAAAAGCAAUGCCGACUGUGACAAUCCCUGUCAGUCGUUUCGAAUGCGAUCUUGAUACCCAUCUCUGCGUUUGUGUUCCUGGCCGCAAUUCGAUGGGUUGCUGAAGAGAUUAAAGCUUGUAUUGCAAGUUCUAGUGAUAUUUUGGAUGCUGAAUUGCAAAAUUUGUAACGUUACAAUCUUUGUUCCGUUUCUUACGUCAUGUGUCAAAUAAAAGUAUCAACUAAGAUUGCUGCCUCUCUUCUGAUAUGCAUACUAAAAUUGUGUACAAAAAUUUACAAAUCAUCUCCAUGUGAUUGGUCCUAUUAUACAAUGUUGUACCAUUCAUUUGGAGAAGUCUUUAAGGCUUGGAAUUAUACAAUUUUUAAAAUUUUCAGUAUUUUUUUUGGCUUUCGAGCUGGGUUCGGACUUUUAACCGGAGCCCAAGACCAGCCAGAAUACUUAGAAAACAUGCUCUAGCUACACUUGAUUUUUCUGCCAUUCCUACUUAGAAUUCCAUUAUCAUUGAUUUCAUUGAUGGAUUGUUAUAUUUUUCACACUAAGUGCUCAAAUGAAAAUAAUUAUAAAUAGUGUCUUAUGAUGUAAUCCUUUCAAAAAGGUGAGAGUUCAUAUAAUACUGAUAUUUGAAUAAAAAAAUGAUACAGUGGUGAGAAAACAACUAUAAAUUUUAUUUAUAAUGUUAAAUAAAAAAUUAUAACUAUUUUUCAAUUAAUAUUGUAACAUUGCACAAUUUACUAUUAUUUUUGUCACCUGUUGUUAGAACUCUUUAUCAUUUUUCAUUUCUUAGAAAAGAAUGCUAAAAAGAAAAUUUAACAUAUAUUAACUAUAAAAUUUUACAAACGAUUUAGUACUUUCUCUAAAUCUAGUUGAAGAAAUAAGACAGCAUCACACAUGAUUAAGAAUGCAUAUUUAUUUGAGUAAUUUUACAUUUAUAACCCUGGGAUACAAAUUUUAUUUGUGAUAUAGAUACAUGCAAGUCUCGCAAUAAAUUUAACAAUUAACACCAGACAUGAUUUUGCAUUUUUCCACAGCUUAAUUAUUAAUUAUUAAAUAAUUGAUAACGCUCUUGUGCUUGCUCCGUUCUUUUCUUUUCAGACAAGCUUUUAUAGUCCCAGUGGAAUUGUUUUUACCCUUCCUUUCUUAAAAGUGGAUGUAUAAAACAAAUUGGUCUUGAUCGAUACUUGACAAUGUCCUGUUUAUUUUUCGCUGCUUUAUUCUUUUUUCAUCAUAUGGAAGACGAGAUUAUUGUAAGAUUCUGCCUUGAUAUGUUCUAAUUUGAGAGUCAACGAUCUUGAUUUAACUUCUUGACUGGAGAACUAGCUAAGAGAAGGGAGGUAUGGGAGCCAGCACUAAUGUUUGAAUUGAGAGCUUUAAAGCAUAUUUUCCUUUUCCCCUCUCUCUUUUAAUUAUUUCUUUGCAUGCUCUUAGACAGAUUUCAGGGUGGAUUUGAGGGAGGAGGAGAUAUGGACAUCAACAUCAGACUAUUUUCAGAGAGGCUGAGAAGGGUGUUAGCUGGUGAAGAAGUCACGUUGCCUGAUGCUGCAAAACAACCUAUUCACAACUUUCAUGCCGAGAUUGAAAUCGUUACUUCUUUGCUGAGGGACUUUGAAGAUGAUAUCUCCUGCCUUCUGGUGCAAAAAAUAGGAGACCUUGAAAUUGACAACCCAGAUCUGGCGACCGUUAUGGACGAAAUCAACUGUUUUGCGUAUGAAUCUGAGAAGGUUAUUGGCACAUUCAUCAACAGCAUCGCUCAACAGAAGAGUCAAAGCAGGUACAACAAGGAUGUUUGUGAUGCUCUGCAAGGACUCCAAAGCAGAAUCACUGAGAUUAAGCAACGGGUUCAACAACUUAAGCACAUCGAUUUUGAAAUCAUGGAUGGGUUAAGAAGUGUUGAAGCUGAAUCCAGUUAUUUUCCUGCAUCUUCAUCUUAGAAGAAUCGGAACACGGUGGGUCUAGAUGAUAGAAUGGAGGAGUUGUUAGAUCUAUUGAUCGAGGGACCACCUCAGCUGUCAGUGGUGGUCAUACUUGAUAGCAUUGGGUUGGACAAGACGGCUUUCGCCGGAGAGGCUUACAACAGCAGUUAUGUGAAGCAUUAUUUUGAUUGCCACGCUUGGGUUCCAGGGACUUAUCCGUAUGAUGCUGACCAAAUGUUAGAUAUCGUUAUUAAGUUUCUGAUGCCUUCAUCUAGGUUGAGUGAAAUAAUGGAUAAAAAUUAUGAAAUGAAAAAAAUAAUUCUUCAUGAAUAUCUAAUGACCAAGCGGUAUUUGAUUGUGAUUGAAGAUGUAUAGACCAUUGGUGUGUGGGAUGUUAUUCGAGAAAUACUUCUGGAUAAUCAAAAUAGAAGUAGAGUAUUAAUCACACUCAGCCGAAUUGAGAUUGUCACCUCAUUUCAGUUCGAAGACGGAGAGAACAUUGGGCUUGAUUUUGUGCCCACUGGAGGACCAUUGAGAGCUACAUACCAAGGAUGGCCUUUCCUCAUCUUAUAUCAUGGAAGCAUCUCAUUAGAAGAAAAUAUAGGGGAAGCAGUGGCGAUACCCCUUGGGCUUUGGUACUUCAAAUAUUGCAGGUUACCUUUUUGCUUGAAACUUUGUUUUCUCUACUUAUCUGUGUUUCCUGCACACCUAGAGAUAUCCACCAGGCAGUUAUAUCAGUUGUGGAUAGCUGAAGGUUUCAUCCCAGACAAUAGUGAGGCAACUGCUGAGAAUUACUUGGAACAACUAAUCAAGGGAGGCUUUGUUGAAGCAAAUAAGAGAAAAGCUGCAGGCACUAUCAACACAUGCUCUAUUCGUAGCCGUUGCCAUCCUGUGUUGUUGUCAGUUCCUUAUAGGGUGGAAUUUAUCUCUUCCCCUUUCCUGGAUCCAAAAGGUAAAUCACCAAAACAAGUCAAACGGUUAAACGCUGUUAAAAGACAGGAAGAUUUUGCUUGCUUAGAUUAUUAUGACUCGCAACUGCAUUCUUUGUUGUGCUGCUCUCCAGAAAGCCGCCACUUUGACCCCAUGGAUUGGGAGAAAAUUUGUGGAAUGUUCCAACUUCUCAGAGUAUUGGACUUGGGAUCUCUUGUUCUCAUCCAAUAUCCAUCCGGAAUUGAAAAUUUAUUUCUUUUGAGAUAUUUGAAGUUGAAUAUCCCUUCCCUUAAAAGCCUGCCUUCAUCGUUAUUAAGCAAUCUUAUGAACCUCUAUACCCUAGACAUGCCCUUUAGCUAUAUAGAUCACAUGGCAGAUGAAUUUUGGAAGAUGAAAAAACUCAGGCAUCUAAAUUUUGGGUCAAUCACACUUCUUGCGCAUCCAGGAAAAUAUUGUGGCUCUCUGGAAAAUCUCAAUUUCAUUUCAGCCUUGCAUCCUUGCUGUUGUACUGAAGAUAUAUUGGGCAGACUACCUAAUCUUCGAAAUCUCCGGAUUCGGGGAGAUUUAAGUUAUAAUCAAUCUUUGUUGUCUAAAAGUCUCUGCAGAUUGAGCUGUCUCGAGUCAUUGAAGCUGGCGAAUGAAAGCAAGAUGCCACGGCUCUCCAAAAUCGUCCUUGCUGAAUACCUAUUUCCUCAUGGUCUAACCCACUUGAGUUUUUCUAAUACUGACCUAAUGGAUGAUCCCAUGCCGGCACUAGAAAAGCUGCCGCUUCUUCAAGUGCUCAAACUGAAGCAAAAUUCGUAUUCAGGUAGAAAGCUGAAUUGUGGCUCUGAUGGUUUUCCAAAUCUCAAGGUAUUGCACCUGAAAUCAAUGCUAGAGGAGUGGACUAUGGGGAUUGGAGCCAUGCCAAAACUAGAAUGCUUGAUUAUCAACCCCUGUGCUUACUUGAAAAAGAUGCCUGAACAGCUCCGGUGCAUAAAGAGCUUAAACAAGUUCGAUUGCUGGUGGCCUCAGCCGGAGCUGAGGCAAAAGCUACGGGAAUUUGAGGAUAAGGAACAGUGCGGCAUUCAACUAUUUCCCUACGGAAUUUGAUUAGCCCCUAUUGAAUUUGAUGUAAGUUUUUUCUUCUUCCCCGAUUACUUCAACCUUUAAUUAUUGAUCUAAUUUCAUAUAAAUGUUUUCUUCUCUACAAUAGAUUUGAUAGUACGCAGUGCCUAAACUAUAAUCAUACUAUAAAGUUUUUUCUACUAAUUGUGAUUGCUUCUAAUUUUUGUCUCAACAUAAACUUAAAGUGUCUACCACAGUUCUUGAUGCUGACAGCAUUCAUUAAAAACUGUAUGAUGCGAUCUUCAAUUAGUUGUAUGUGUAGGUAAAAGCAGAGCGGAAACUAUCUUAACUGCACUGCAGCCAAAGUUUCAAUUACAACCAGAAUUGAGCCUUCAUCCUUUCAGUGUUCACUUCUGCUGGGUUGUCUACACGUUGUUUGGUUUCUUCAUUUUCAAGGAUUUGCAUGCUAACAGUAAUAAUGUCAUGUUCGGAUUAAUAUAUUGAACAAAAGUCUGAUUAAUUGUUUUACUUUCUAUUUUCAGUUGCACUGGUGUGUAUUCAAUUUGUCAACAUUCAAAUUGAUAUAUGUUAUUGUUUUUUUUUAUUUUAUUUCUUCCUCUAGUUUUUAAGUAGCGGUAUAGUUCAACUUCAAGCUUAGUACUUCAGUUAGAAGAAAAGUAUUUGUGCGGUGAUCUCAUCUCAUCAUGUCAACACUGGCAGAACGACAUUGUUGUUCGGUUUUUUGGAAUUUCACCGACAUGUCGGUCAUCAUAAGGGUGAGAGUGCUGGUCAAAAGUGAGUUGGGGUUAGGUAAAAAAGUACAGGAAAAUUCUAGGAUUGUUAGAGAUAGCCUUUAUCGUAGUUUAUAAGGCUGGUUGAUGGGCCAUCUUCUCAGAUCUCAUCAAAGCUAUGGAGAGAGAGAGAGAGAGAGAGAGAGAGAGAGAGAGUUGAAAUAGAAAGUUGUAUAUUCUUGUUCUCUAUAACAAGCUCUACAUCCUGGUAACCUUGAUUUGUGAAAUAGUGAAAGCUUGAAAGCUUGAAAGCUUGUAUCCUUGUUCUUCACUGGAUUUACGCACUUUGAUUCAAUUUUUAGUUUGGAUUUCUGAGAAUGAGUCUUCAUACAUCAAAUCAAAGAUGGUCUAAGGUGUUUGAUCUUGGUACUGUUAGAGGAUUAAACACAACAAAAAGAAACUGGGGCAUGGAGAUUAAGCCCUAGUCAAUUUGGGUUGUCCAACAGCCCUUGUAAAAUCGAAAACCAGCACUAAUCCUUGGUGAUUUGGAGCAGAAGUUUAACGAGUAAAGUUCUGAAAGUGGAAGAUUUAAUCGAUAGUGCUGCACGUUUUGGAAGCUCUGUUAGAAUUGAUGACUGAAUUCUUUCUCUAUUGAUUGAUUAGCAGCCCCAUAGCAUGCUAAUGGUUUUCACAUUUUUCCCUCCACAGCAUGCAGAGGGUGUCUGUAGUGCAAAGAAGUUGAUGGCACGCAAAUAAGUUGCUUGUGUUGUUUUUAAUCUCAAUAAGAUAUAUAUCAUCGGCAUAUUGAAGUUUGUGAUUAUUCUAAGAAAAAAUAGGUGCUUUAUUAUUUGAAUUAUCGACAAAAUAAUUCCAUUUCAUUAUUUUGUUAGAUCCACUAUAUGUACAUGUUUGAAUCUUAUUCAUAAGUUUUGAUUUCACUCUCACGUUUCAUAUGAUGUCAAAUCAGAUAAAAAGAAAAAAAAAAUGAAAGCUAGCUUGUCGGUAGCAAUUACAUUAGCAUUUAGCAAAUGUUAUUUUGAGUACAAGCACAAUUUGGCUCAUUUUCCAGGACCAACAAUCUUCCAUUUAGAAAUGCAUUGACAAACAGGUUAAUUCGUAAAAUGAUGGUUUCUAGAUAGAAUCUUUCCAAGUUGCACUAACCUCCUUUCCUUAAAGCUAAACAUUAAUUAAUUUGCAUUUUAUUAAAUUUUUCUUUCUAUUCCUUUUACAUAAUGAUUGGUCACCAAUCUUGAUUCAAUUUUUUGAAUAGCAACUUACUGCUGGAUUAGUUAGAGAAUUAGAUAUCACUCAUAGUGUGUCAAUCGGAGUUGAGUUUCAUCAACAACUAAAGUUAUUUUUAUACAAUUAAUCUUUUCAUAUCACAUUAAUCUGUACAAAUUUAUUUAUGCAACCCCAGCUGAGGUUGGCAUGGAGACACACCGCACAAAAUAUUAUGAUGAGACAGUAAACAUGGAACAUAUGUUGUUGGAUUUAGAUUUGCUUGAUGAGAAGAGAAAGGCGACAAGAAGUCGAGCAACAAUUUACCAGUAAAAAGUGGCUAAGUUCUACAACAAGAAUGUCAGGCUACGACAAUUUCAGGAGGGGGACUUGGUGCUCCGUAAAGUCAACCAAUCAACCAAAAAGCCAGCUGAUGGAGUUUUAGGGCUGAGCUGGGAAGGACCAUACAAAGUACUACACUCAUUUGGUAAUGGCUCAUAUAAGUUAGGUUAUCCAGAUGGCAGGGUCGUCGGCAAGGCAUGGAAUGCAGAGCACCUACGAAAAUACUAUCAGUAGGCCAAUCCUAUUUAUGAUGUUCUUGUUUGUUUGUUUUCUUUAAAUAUGUUAUGAUAGUUUGUUUCUUUGUUAUUUUAAUUCGUUAUGUGUUCAAUUUUGUAAUUUCUGCUAUAUUAAUAUCAAUAAGGUUAUUGAAAAGUGUGACUCUAUUUCUUACCUACUUGUGACCGGUCUUAUUUGAGAUCGGCAUAUUUGGGCCUUAUUGAGGUCUAACAUAAAAAUUUUGAUAAAAUCUUAUUGAGAUUGAGAUCAACAUUUGGGCCUUGUUGAAGCCGAAUGUGAAAAUUUAUCCAAUCUUAUUGAGAUUGAGAUAGGCAUUUUGGCCUUAUUGAGGUCCAACGUGAAAAAAUUUAUCCAAUCUUAUUGAGAUUAAGAUCGGCAUAUUUGGGCCUUAUUGAGGUCCAACGUGAAAAACUUGAUCAAAUCUUAUUGAGAUUGAGAUCGAUAUUUAGGCCUUGUUGAGGUCGAACAUGAAAAAUUUAUCCAAGCUUAUUGAGAUUGAGAUCAACAUUUUGGCCUUGUUAAGGUCCAACGUGAAAACUUGUUGAGGUCGACCAUAGCCAUAACAUUUAAGUUCUACAAUUUUCAACUUGUUGAGGUCGGUCGUACCCAUAACAUUUAAGUUCUAUAAUUUUCAACUUGUUAAGGUCGGCCAUAGCCAUAACAUUUCAGUUCUACAAUUUUUAAUUUAUUGAGGUCGACACUUUAGAUUUGUAAGGCCUAUGGUUGGGGUCGACAGUUUAGUUUUGUGAGGUCUACAAUUGAGGUCGACACUUUUGCGUUGUGAGCUCUACAACUGGGUCGACAUUUUAGUUUUGUAAAGCCAACGGUUGAGGUCGACACUUGCUUUGUGAGCUCUAUGGUUGAGGUCGACAUUUUAGUUUUGUAAAGCCAACAGUUGAGGUCGACACUUGCUUUGUAAGCUUUACAUUUGAGGUUGACAUUUUAGUUUUGCAAAGCCUACGAUUGAGGUUGACACUUGCUUUGUGAGCUUUACGGCUGAGGUCGACAUUUUAGCUUGGUAGGAUCUAAAACUGAGGUCGACACUUUAGAUUUGUAAGGCCUACGGUUGAGGUCAAUAUUUUAGCUUGGUAAGAUUUAUGAUCGAGGUUGACACUUUUGCUUUGUGAGCUCUACAUUUGAGGUCGACAUUUUAGUUUUGUAAAGUCUACGGUUGAGGUCGACAUUUUAGUUUGGUAAGAUCUACAACUGAGGUCGACAUUUUAGUUUUGUUAAGCCUACGGUGAAGGUCGACACUUGCUUUGUGAGCUCUACAUUUGAGGUCGACAUUUUAGUUUUGCAAAGCCUACAGUUGAAGUCGACACUUGCUUUGUGAGCUCUACGGUUGAGGUCGACAUUUUAGCUUGGAAAGAUUUAUGGUCGAGGCUGACACUUUUGAGUUGUGAGCUCUAUGAUUGAGGUCAACAUUUUAGUUUUGUGAGGUUUACAAUUGAGGUUGACACUUUAGAUUUGUAAGGCCUACGGUUGAGGUCAACAUUUUAGCUUGGUAAGAUCCAUGGUUGAGGUUGACGAUUUUGCUUUGUAAGCUCUACGGUUGAGGUCGACAGUUUAGUUUCUUGAGGUCUACGAUUGAGGUCGACACUUUAGAUUUGUAAGGCCUACGGUGGAGGUCAACAUUUUAACCUUGUAAUAAUUUAUAAUGAAGUCAGCUUCGCGCUUCUUAAGGUCGACUUUCCAGCCUAGUUACAAUCGGCAAUAGCCUAAACAUCUUCAGUCUUGUUGUGGUCGACAUUAGCUUUGUUAAAAAUUAGCGUCUAGGCUAUGUAACAAUUAUCCGAAUACAAAAACAAAAUGAAAGCUCAACAAGAGUUAUCAGUUUGUAACACUACAAAAAGGAAAGCCUUAUAACAACUUUUCAAAUCUACUUAGGAAGCAUUCUCCUCGUCUUCAACAACUCUGCUAGUUAAAGAUGUCUCACCCUUAACUCUAAUCUCAUCACCCUUAAGAACUCGAUUUGCUUUUUGAUCCGUACUCGAUGACUUCUUUUUAGCCUUUUCUUUGCUCACAUAAGCAGUCAACAUCCAUUGAAAGUCCAUGUCCGGGUGUUUCUCUUGGAACAAUUCGAUACAUGUCUGAAUGACAUCCGCCUUCAGUUGCCUUUUCUCCAGUCGAAUGCAUUGAUCAACAUCAGACUUAACUUUUUCCAACUCAUAGCUAAGAUCGGCAAUCUUGGAGUCUUUGCCCGCAUUAGAUUUCUUUUCGGCUACUAAGUCUUCUGCCAAGUGAGUAUUUUCAUCGUUGCGAGCAUUGAGGUCACGCUUGAGCCGAUCUCGCUCGCUUGCCGUCUUUUCAUUCGUGAGGUUUUCUUUUAUCAAAGUGCGCUCGAGUUCUUCUAUUUUUGCAUGGCCUUUCAAUGACUUUGCAAACAUCUCAAUAUGCGCGGCCAUGAUCAAGGAUUGCUGGGAAAGAAAGCAUGACGGUUAAGAUGAAAAGUAUAAACAUCAAAGAAAUAAAGAUUGUGAAUUAAUACCCACCUCAGCUUGGUUUUGAGCAAGCGCUUCAAGGGCAUGAGUAGCUGACAAGUGGGAAAAAUUCUUGAGGGUAUCCUGGCUCACAAAUCAAGUAGCUAAGUUCACCAUGGGUAGUAAGUCUUCUUCUCUUCCUUGCUUUGACUCUAUGAUGUCACUGCUUUCAAGCAAGCUUCCUUUUGGACAUAUCGGGGAAGGGGUAGAUGGUAAAAUGCACAAGGGACGAGAGUCGCUAGCUCGGUCACUUUUGCUCUGAGGUAGCAUGUUGCAAGCAGAAACAGCGGGUUAUUUUUCUUUUUUCUCAUCAGCUUUGUUUUUAUAUGAUGCCUACCGUGGUUUCUUACUAUGUGGUUCGCCUUCCUCGUCUGAUAUCUCCUCGAUCAAGGCUUUUGCAAUUUCUGCAGGGGUACACUUGGUGGUAGACAUGUUUCCUGCAUUUAGCAAUCCUUUCUCAACUCUAGCACUCAGCUUGUCACUUAUAUUAAUUUCUUCUUCCAAGUCACUAUAGUAAAAACAUGUGUUAGAUUGUAUCCUUAUUUUGACCUCAACCUGAACAAAACUUGAAUUACCUGGUCUACUAAAAUGAGUGGGAACUUUAAACCAAUCCUUGGUCAGCUCUACACCCCUACCCUAAUUUCCACCCACCACGAAAUACUUAUUUUUCGAACCUCUACAUGAGCCUGGAAAGUCAAGUACUAUUCUUCUACUCGUUGAUUUUGACAUAAAAUAGUACCAUCCUUUGUGAUUGAUCCCAUGCUCAUUACAAAAAUAUAAGUGAGUAAACUCCUUAAAACACGGCUCGGUUCUAUUCUGCUCAGCCCAUACAACAUACAUACCACCUAAAACCUUCCAGCCAUUUGGGUCAAGUUGACUUGGACUGAAACCCACUCUCACCAACAUUCGAGCAAAAUAAGGUUGAAUGGGCAACCUAAAACCAAGUUCAAAAAUUUCCAGAUAAAUCGCAGUCUCUCUAUUACCCAAUUUACUUGCCACCUCAUCUUUGCCCAACAACUUAAGUGUAAUAUGGUCUGGAAUAAGAUAUUCCUUCCUCAACUCUUCAAUCUCUUUCUCUGUUGCAUCAAAGUUUAGUAUGUUCACGCCGUAUUCUUCAUGCUCAUCUCCCUCAUUUUCAAAUUGUGCACAACUCGAUUCCUCAUUCACCUUAUUUCCGCGUCUUAUUCCAUAUUACAAUUUAAUUCUACAUUAUCUUCCCUGACUUUUCCAUUAUCAUCUACACCCAAUGCAAUAUCACUGAGCCCAUCCAACAACUCCUUAUUCGCAUUUUACGAAUCGCUACAAAGUGACCCAUCUUCACUCCUUAAUUCUAUUACUGCCUAAUGUUACAUUUAACAAAACCUCAUUUCCAGCCAAUAUUAACACCCAGUAUGUAAACAGCAAAUUACAAGCAACCUUUCAUUGUCAACAUCACAUCCAACACAAUACAAAACACAGCAACAAGCAAAUGCGCUUGGGAUGAGACAACUCACCGAAUCUCCUUUAGCCAGAAUGGAUUCCAAUUUUGCUGAUGGUCAACAAUAGUAACAUCAUUCAACAUUGGUUCUACAUCAACAAAAUGCAACAUUAGCUAAGAGUAGUUUAAAAAAAAAGAAAAAGAGAAACACAGCAAAGAGAAGAAGAAGUUCGGGUUUCGACAAUAACAAAGAGAGAGGGAGAAUGCAAAAAAAAAAAGAGAGAGAGAGAGAAACACAACAAAGAGAAGAAGAGGUUGAGUUGUGACAAAAACAAAAAGAGAGGCGAGUUCUGUUUAUAUAAAAAAAAAAAGGCAUUUGGUUUCAAUACACAUAUAUAGAUAUGGUAUUUAUUAAAAAAAAAAGCACUCAAAAGAGAAGAUGGCGCGCGAGGUACUCACCAACAGGUUUGAUUAUGGCUCAGUAGCGUCGUUGCUCAAUUUGCCCAAAAAUUGCAUGACGACGACAGCUCAAUAUUUCACUUUUAUUGUGAAAAAGUGUGGAGGAUGAGGAAGAAAUGGAAGCCCAAACGAAACAGAAGCCAAAAGGUAUUGAGAAAAGACAAAAUGUAUGUUUUCAAUUUGCCUUUAUCAACUAUUCCACAAUUAUCAACUAUUCCCUCCCCCCAACCUGAAAAAGACAUUGUCCUCAAUGUUUUAAAAGGAAAGAGAAAGAGUGUAGAAGAAAUACAACAUAAACUCCAUAAGCAUUUUCCCUCUCUCCCUCAGAAUGCCCUCAGGAAAAUUUACAAAGCUCGUUGUGAACGAUUGCAUUUGUUAAUGAUCAAUGGCAUUCCUUCUGACAUUUGUUGGUUAAUUGAAGCAAAGGUCCGAUUAGCAGGUGAGUUUUUUGGUCAAUUUGUUUCUUACAUGCCUGGUUUUGGUAAAAGUACGUUUGCUAAGAAAAGGAGAGCUAAACGACUUGGCUCAAAAUGUCAUAACUGUGUAAGACUUGGUUGCAAACGACCAGAUUGUAAAUCUUUAGGAAUGGUUUCUGAUACUCGUGAAGAUAAAAUUAAAUUCGUUAAAGAUGGCAUGAGUAAAGAAUCGUUGGAUGAUAUCUUACGAUCUCUUGAGACGCAUCGAAGUGGAUUUGUGCAACGUGAGAUUUACAAUUUGUGGAUACUAUUCCAAAAACAAAGUGCACAGUUUAGUCUUGGGAAUCUGACUCAAAAAGACCCUGUUUGCCAGUUUAUAAGAAAACUGGAUAGGAAGCCGAUCCUCGACCCAUAGAGGGCGUUCAAGCCGUUACUGGACGUAAAACCAGAGGAAGAUGUGAGCCACAAUCACAACUACCAGUAAAUAUCCUUUCACUUCACUGUUAUUUUACUUUACUGUUAUUUUAUCAUUUGCAUUAUUGCAUUUAGCGAUGUGAUUUUGUAUUUAAUAAAUAUUUGGUUUUCUUUUACUGUUUGCUUUUUCUAAUCAUUACUUUCUUUUUACUGUUUGUUUUUGAAUUAUUGAGCCACGAGCUUUACUCGUCAUUUAACAAAUAUUGCCAACCCAUUUACAGCUGUUUCUCAUUAUUUAUGUUACCAAGAUCUUUAAAUAUGAGCUCAUUUUUCAAACACUCACAACUUGUUUUUGAAAAAUUAGUCCAAUGGCAUCAUCUUCGAGUAAACAAUUCAAAAACAUUUGUGUGCUUUCUGGGUUUCACUAUGGAAAGUACAAAGAGUUCGUUCAGGCAGCUGUAGAUCUUGGUCGUGUCAUAGCAGAGAGGAAACUGCAUCUUGUAUAUGGAGGAGGUGAACGAGGGUUAUCAAGACUUGUCUCAGAAGCUGUUUUUACCAAAGGAAGCCAAGUACUCGGCAUUAUCCCAAAACCCAUGAAACCGCUAGUGUGCAUGUCUGGCCCACCAAUUGGAGAAGAAUUAGUGGUAUCAAGUAUGCAAGAGAGAAUAUCUGAAAUGAUGAAUCAUGCUGAUGCUUUUAUUUUCUUGCCAGGAGAUCUUGCAACUUUUGAGGCACUAAUUACAUUUGCAUCUUGGGCCCACUUGAACAUUCAUCAAAAACCCAUCGGUUUGUUAAAUGUUAAUAAUUUUUAUGACGGCUUGCUAACUUUUAUUAACCAUGCAAUAAAGAAUCAUUUUGUUCCACAUUCUGUAAAAAAACUAUUUAUCUCUGCUUCUACUGCUAAUGAGUUACUUGAUCUUUUACAAGCUUAUACACCAGAGCCAGAUCCACAGACUGUUGCACUGAAUUGGUCGACUAAUGAUGGUAACGGUAACAGUAGCAGUAAUAAGAAGUGCGAUUUAGAUUUAACUCUCCGUUUGUAAAUAUUUUAUGUUGUAGUGUUCAUGUGAUGUCUUCUACACUCUUUCUCUUUCCUUUUAAAACAUUGAGGACUAUGUCUUUUUCAAGUUGGGGGGAGGGAAUAGUUGAUAAUUGUGGAAUGUCUUGGUCCUGGUUAUGUGUUUACAAGAAAAAAAAAACAUUUUUUUUUCUGUAAAGACUAACUUAGGACAAAUUUGAGUCGAAGAUGGCAGGAUAUAGAUAAUGUAGUUUCUCUAGAAACGCAUCUUCUUAAUCUUAAGAGUGUUGUUAAAAAAAAAAAUUGACUUUUUCUUCAUCUUUGUUAUCUACUUUUAAGCUUCUGCAUCAAGUUCAGGUGAGAUCUCCUCUUCUUCUUCUUUUAUUAUUCUCUUUUAUUUUUAUUUAUUUAUUUAUUUUUAUUUUUUGCAUAUCUGUAAAAUUAUAAAAUGUUAAGAUACUUUUUAGAUUAGGUUGUGGGGUGGGGAUAAUUGACGUAUGUUUUAAAUAUGUGUGUUGUAUUUCUCUUUUCUCUUUUCUUUUCUUUGUUAAAAAAAAACCAAAAAAAAAAUUGUUUUUUGUCUAGGAUGGCCGUGUAAAGAGUCACGACUUUUGAGACACAUCCUAAUAGUCUUGUUGUAUUAUAUUUUGAUUUUGAGAUUCAUAGUAAGUUGUUUUUGUUCCCUUUUCUUUGAAUUACUCAAAUUUGUGAACUCUCCACUUAGUUAUUAAGUUAUUUAAUUGUUUACUCAUUUAACAGGUAUUAUUGAAUCAUUCUUCACACACACAUUAUGACACAUACUAGUGGGUUGUAAGUUAAAAUUUUACAGCAUUUAGUUCUUUUGAUUUAUUAGGAAUAGUAUCUAAGGUGGUAGAAAGUGUAUAUUUCUAAAAAAAAAAAUUAAAAAAAAGAAAAAAAAUGUUUUUAAUUUUGUUAUAUCUAGAAACCCGAGUAAUUAAGUCCAUAGGGGUGCUUCAACACCUAGUGCCCUAAGGUCAACUGGUCUGGGAGUCACUGGCCUAAAGCUCGCUACAUGGGUAAUAGAUAUAUUGUUUGUUUAUUAGAAACCCGAGUAAUUAAGUCCGUAGGGGUGCUUCAACACCUAGUGCCCUAAGGCCAACUGGUUUGGGAGUCACUAACCUAAAGCUCGCUAAACGGGUUAGAAAUGUAAUAUAUAAAAAAAAAAGUGUGAAUAAUCUAUUGCCUAAAGAUAUAAUUUCUAAUGAAUUUUAGAACGAAAAUGUUGUUUUUCUUUUAAUGAAGCCCCAUAAGUAUUGUGUUAAUUACUUGAGCACAAAAGAAGGUUUGAUGAUAUUCUGGAUAAUGAGUGAACAUCAAUGUGGUGAAGGAAUUUGGGAGAGUUCAUUUAUUUGGUAAUUUAGAGGAUAGAUGAACAACUAUUAACUUGCAUGUGAAUUUUAUAAAUCUUAAUAUAACGCUUUAAUUGCUAGAGGGCUAGCAAUAAGCUGGUUGGGGGGUGUGAUUAGUAUUAAAAAUUGUUUAAUUAUCAAGCGAUAAUAUGUUAUUUUAUGCUUAUAUUAUAAUUUAUAUUUGUGUUUAUGUAAUAUAUUAUGAAUUAUUAAUUAUGUUUUAAAUAUAUUUAAUUUUGUGUAUUUUUAUGUGUUUAUUAGGAAAAUUAUUAAUUUCACGUACUUCGAGGCUCCAAACAAAUAAACAGAGGUCAAAUUUGGAUUCCAGAGGUCCGAAAACCUUAAGAUCAGUCAAGAUUGGCUUAAAAUUGGGCUUGUGUAAAAAAAAUUGACUUUUCCUGUUGACCGAGCACUGAUUGGAUGAUGAAAUGAGCUUACAAUAGAUAUGAGUGCAUGGGAUAACUGGCAAUCUUGACUAAAUCUCAACCGUUCAUGAUUCAAUGGCCAUGAUUGUGCCACGUGGCAAUGGUUGGUGAAGCAAGUUGGAGGAUCCGAAUCUUUGUAUUCGGGUCGACCCGAUCCACCCAUUAACCUGUCAAAUCUCAACCGUUCUUUGGGCAAAUCGGACGAGUCAAAUGAUGCCAUGUGUGAUGUUGACUUUUGAAGUUUGACCAGCCAUUGGAUCUUGAUCUAAGGGUUGUGAGGAGCACAUGCAUGAAGCCUAUGAUGGACCGCAAAGCACUGGAUUAUGAAUUUAUUUUUCUAUAAAUAGGGCCUCAUUUUUAUGUUUUAAUCAUCUCUCUACAACUCUCUUCUUCUCAAAUUCUCUCCAUCUCCUUGUAAUCUUGAUUUCCAGGUGUGUUUUUAAUAUUUUGUAUAAUUAUUUUCAUUAAUAAAAUUAGUUUUAUUUCCAAUUUUAGUUGUUUUUAUUUCUUUUAAUUAUAAGUAAUUCAAUUUUACUACUUCUUUUUAUUUUAAUUAUGCUUAACUAAAUAAUAUUAGUUAGGGGAAGGUGAAACUCUUAAGAAAUAAAUAUGAUUUAAUCAAAUUCUAUGUUUAAUUUUAUAGAUUAAAUUAUUUUCUAUUUAAUUUUAUACAUGUUUUAUAUUUUGAAAAUUUGAUUUAUUGUAGACAAACAAAUGAAUUUGGCACAAUAAAUUCUUAAGAUCUUAAUAUAAGGCUUGGUGAAAUGGUAUUUUGACUUAUUGUAGACAAAUUAAAUUUUGGCACAAUAAAUACUUAAUCCAUCAUAAAUUUAAAGGGAAAAUAAUAAUAAUUUGUAUAAUUAAUCUGUUUCCAAUACCGUUCAUAUCUUCUCAGUAUUGAAAAUUAGGGGACUGGUGUUCGGUUUGUAAGAAUUUUUCUAUUUUUCAUUAAUUAGUUUCUAACAUCGAAAAUAGCUUCCCGAUGUUGAAAACUAGGGGACUGGUGUUCGAGUUGGAUUUUUCUGAUAACCUCUAGAAAGAGUCAACAUUGUUCUGGUUGGAUUUUUCUAGUAAUGUUUAGAAAUAUAGUCGACCCCAAUCUACUCAGAACUCAUUGUCGUCGAGCUAACCUCGUAAAUAUAACUUGGAGCCUAAUUUGGCGGCCUGAUUUACAAGUACGACCUGAGAUUUAUGUAAAUGACCUAAUUUAAGAAUACAACCUUAAGCCUAUAUGAGCGACCAGGAAAUUCACCAGUCCGACCUUGAAAUUUAUUUGUCCGACCCGAGAAUUAGCUUGACAUAGAAAGCUAUCGGUUGAGAUAACAUGGCCUAGUUUCUAGGAAAGUUGUGAGCCACGAUCAAUUUAAACUAUUUCUAAUUGAUGACCACGUGCAACUGCUGAAGAAAGUGGGCAGAAGUUAAGGUGGUAACCACCCACGACCAAGGGCCUAUUUAAGCUGAAAAGGGCAACUGAGGAAGGGGUUAGAAAAAUGAACCAAAAUUUCUAUAAGUCACCUAUCUAAAAAUCUUAGGGUUCCCGAUAAUAUUUUUAGUUUUUUCUACCGAAAAAAUUCGUUAAUUUUCACUUUUCACAAUUCUCCCUCCUCGUUUACCUUUUUCUUAUACACAAUUUCUGACUUAAGAAUCAGAGAGUUUACGUCAGGACCCCACCGGCGUAUCCUAAUCGUGUUUUCUGGUUGUCAGGUAUAUAAAGCUGGGUUCAGACCGACGUUUGAGCUUGGAUUCGUGCUGUAAUUCCCCAAAAGAAAACAAAUUCAACUGUUGAGGUUGUUUUUCGGCAUCAACAACGAACAUCAUACUUGUCACACUCUUGGCCUAUAAAUCCUUAGAUUCACAAGUCUUAUAUCACUUGAACGAAGAUGCUAGUGGUGUGCCUCCAUGGAGCUCUGACUCAAUAGUUUUCAAGUAAUUUUAUUUAGCUAACCACCUAAGUUUGAAUCGUGGUGAGGAAAGAAGAUAAAAAUUAAUUUGGUCUUUGCACCUCACUACCUUUAAAAGAGUUCAAACUUCAGACUAGGUUUUGAAUUUUAAUUAUUUUAAAUUGAAAUGCUAAGUCCAUAUAUUAUAUAUGUGAGUUUUUUUUUUUUUUUUGCCUAAUGUUGAAUUAAACUAUAUAUUUAUGAAAUUCUUGAGAUACAUGGAUUUCAGGUUUUAAUAGAAUCAUAUGUACUAGCUAUAUAUACAUCUUAAUAAAUGUUUGCCAGACCUUUAUUUGUACUAAAAUUAUACAUAUCUAGACUCCCAUUACACUUUAGAUUGUAAGAAUUUAAAUAAUUUUUUUUUUCGUAGAAGUCGUUUGGAAUUCUAAGAUCGGAAGUCAAAUUUCAAUAACGAUUUUUAUUUAAAUAUAUAUAUAUAUAUAUAUAUAUAUAUAUAGGGAGAGAGAUUCUUGAGUGCAUAUACUUAACAUUAUAUAGUGUUAUAGCGAAUUUACACAAAAUUUGCAUAUCGACACUUGAGAAUUUCUAAAUAUCAAAGUUUUCAAAUGCAUAAGUCUAAACAUGGAUUUAGUACGGAUUCACUACAAAAUCAUAUGAUGUUAAAAUGAAUUUACAAUUGACUACAAUACCACAUGAUGUUAUAGAAAAUUCACACCAAAUUUGUAUUAUAUAAAGAGAGAGAUCUUGCUUUGCUUUAUAAUUGAAUAUAGGGUGAUGAUAUUCCCACCCCUCAAAUUUUGUAAACCUACCUCACUUUAAAAAAUUAAACCAUAAAAAAUUCACAUUAUUUUUGACGAUUUCAAAUUAUUAAGAAUAAAAUUAAGCAAUUGACUAAUUAAAUCCUCAUUAAAUAAUUAAAAUACAUUUAUGAUAUGAUAUCUCAAAACAUUUAUGCUAUUUUUCUCAUGAAAUUGACUAAUUAGAAGAAGGAUUUGAUUGAUUAACAGUUUAAAAUUUUAUUUAUUUUAAAUUGAAAAAAUGUGAAUUAUUUUUUAAAUAAUUCUUUGAAAUGAUUUAAAUGCGGCACGUGUCCCAUCAAGUUAAAACCUGAGAAGUUGAUUUAAAUUUUAUUUUGGAACAGAAACCGAGUAGCGAGGCCUCGUUGGUCAGGAAAUUCCGAGGUAAGUUAAUCAACAGUUCCACUAAUUAUUUUUAUUUUCUUCCAAAGUUUAUUUAAUUAGACCAAUUUCUGGCUUCCUACUUAUAUUGCAUAUCCAAUUUAGGGGUUGAUUUUUGGAGAUGGACUGAAACAUUAAUAAGCUCAGAGAAAAAAAAAAAAGAAAAAUAGAUUGAGAUUGAAAGUCAUUAUUAACCAACAUACAGAAUACAUAUGCAAUUAAUUCAAAUUUCUAAAAUUACUGUAAUUGUUGGCAAUGUGCUUUUUUGUUUUGGUUUUUUUUGGGGGGGGGGGGUUUCGGAAAUUUGCAUGCAUGCCUUAAUUGAGUUUUAUCACUUUAAAUCCUAAUUACUAAUGUUUUUUCUGUUAACGGUUGAAAAUAAGAUAAGAAGAGAGAAGGUGAACUUGAAGAAGUAUAAGAAGAAAAGACAUGUACUGAUGUUGAUGUGUUUAUGUGAAUAGAGAAAUGGAAUCUUUGUCCAAGUUUUUCCCUUGAUGUUCUAAAGUUUGCAUAUAUAUGUUUCAAGAAACAAAUGGAAAUUAAAUAGUACAUAAAGGUGAACUCACAUUGUCAACUAAAGGUUACACUACCAUUUGCCCAAUGGUUCCAUUACUAUUAUCAUUUUCUUUAUUCACAGAAAUAUCAUCGGCCUCAAAUUCAUCAGUAUAAGCAGAGGGACAAGGACAAGGACAAGGUGAGUCUAUUGUAUGACAACAACAAGUCUACAAUUUAGUUUUAUUUCUGCUGCUGCACUGAGGAAUCACUAGCAUCAACCACCUACUUUAUUACCGUUGCUUCGUUUUUCUCAUGAAGACAGUUGACUUGAUGAAAUAACACUUCUAAUGAGGCUGCCGUAGAGAAAGCAUAUAUGUUAAUCACCUGUUGUAAUCUCAUGCCAAAAUCAUUUCAGUUUCUGCUCAUACAAUUAGUUACUUCAACCUUUGUCAUAUGUAUUCUCCACUACUUUAAGAUACUUAGAUAGUGAAUGUGUCUAAAUUCCAACUCAAAAGAUUCAUUUGAGGAAAAGUUCUUCAGAUGGUCAUGUAGAGUUCUAAUUUAUCUCAGCGUCAUACUCUAAAUACUUGAAAACUACAUGUCAAUCAUCAAUGUUCAUCUUUUGUUGACAAUCUCAACGAUGUGUUUGGGAAAAAAUUAUCACAAUUAUGUUUAGUCCAUUUAUAAGACAAUGUGUCAUGUGAUCCAUUAGUCUAUUGAAAGGUUGCAAUCAAAUGAGUUCAUGUCCAGAUUGUGAAGUUGGUUAAUUUCAACAUAAUAGCAAUGAUUGUAUCCAUUGCUUUUAUCAAGUUGCUAUGUUAUUGUUUUUUUAAUAAGUGGCAGACAUGACUUUCUAUUUUUCCACAGCUUAAAUUGUUAAAUAAUUGAUAAUGCUCUUUCGCUUACUCUGUUCUUUUCUUUUUAGACAAGCUUUAUUGCUUUCGCCCUUUCUUUCUUGAGAGUGGAUGUAUAAAACAAAUUGGCCUUGACUGAUACUUGAUGAUGUUGUAAUUAUUUCUCCCUGCUUUAUUCUUCUUACAACAUAUGGAAGACAGAGUACUGUAAGAUUCAUUUCCCGUACUGCUCUGCCUUGAUCUGUUCUAAUUUGAGAGUCAGCAAUCUUGAUUUAACUUCUUGGAUGGAGUACUAGCUAAGAGAAGGGAGGUAUGGGAGCCAGCACUAAUUUUUCAAUGAGGAUAUAUGGGCAUCACCUUCAGACUAUUUUCGGAGAGGCUGAGAAGGGUGUUAGCUGGCCAAGAAGUCACAUUGCCUGAUGCUGCAAAAGAACCUAUUCAGAACCUUCAUGCCGAGGUUGAAAUCGUUACUCCUUGGCUGAGGGACUAUGAAUAUGAUAUGUCCUGGCUUCUGCUGCAAAAAAUAGGAGAAGAUGAAGUUGACAACCCAGACCUUGGGCGGAAAUCAAUUGCUUUACCUAUGAAUCUGAAAAGGUCAUUAACACAUUCUCAACAGCAUCACUCAACAAAAGAGUCAAAGCAGGCGCAACAAGGACAUUUGUGAUGCUCUGCUAGGACUCUAGAGCAGAAUCAAUGAUAUAAAACAGCGGAUGCAACAACUUCCGUACAUCGAUUCUGGAAUCAUUGAUGAUUUCAAAAAUAUUGAAGAUGAAGCUGGUUAUUUUCCUGCAUCUUUAUCUUCUAAGAAUAGCGGCAUGGUGGGUCUAGAAGACAGAAUGGAGAAGUUGUUAGAUAUUUUGAAAGAGGGACCACCUCAGCUUUCAGUGGUGACCAUCUUGAUAGCAUUGGGUUGGACAAGGUGGCUUUUGCUGCAGAGGCUUACAGCAGCAGUGAUGUGAAGCAUUAUUUUAAUUGUCACGCUUGGGUUCCAGAGCCUUACAACUAUGAUGCUGAUGAUGACCAAAUAUUAGAUAUGAUUAUGAAGUUUCUAAUGCCUUCAUCUAGGUUGAGUAUAAUAAAGGAUAAAAAUUAUGAAAUGAAAAAAAAAAUUCAACAAUAUCUAAUGAUCAAGCGGUAUUUGAUUGUGGUUGAUGAUGUGUGGCGCAUUGAAGUGUGGGAUGUUAUUCGAGAAAUUGUUCCGGAUAAUCAGAAUGGAUGUGGAGUACUAAUAACACUCAUUGAAAUUGAUAUCGUCAUCUCAUUUCAGUUCAAAAGCGGACAGAAUAUUUGGCUUGAUUUAGUGCCCACUAAGAGGACCAUUGAGAGUUGUUUACCUUUUGGAAGUACAUGGAACAACUAAUGAAUAGAGUCUUUGUUGAUGCAAAGAAGAGAAGCGUUGGAGGCAGAAUCAACGCAUGCCCUAUUCGUAGUCGUUGCUGGCCUUCAUUGUUGCAAAUGGCUCUCAAAGUGGAAUUUAUCUUUUCAUCCUAUCCUAGAUCAAAAAGGUAAAUCGCGAAAAAAAUGUCAAACAUGUCUACGUUUUUUAAAAACAGAGUGAUUUUGCUUACUUAGAUGAUUGUGACUCGUACCCGCAUUCUUUGUUGUACUUCAAAAAGCGACCACCUUGACCCCAUAGAUUGGGUGAAAAUCGUUUUGAGUAAUGGACUUGGGAUCUCUUGUUCUCAGCCAAUUUCCAUCCAAAAUUGAAACUUUAUUUCUUUUGAUAUGAAGCUGAACAUCCCUUCCCUCAAAAGCCUAGCUUCAUCAUUAUUAAGAAAUCUCUGAAUCUCUACACCAUAGCCAUUCCCUUUAGCUACAUAAAUCAUACAGCAGAUGAAUUUUGGAAGAUGAACAAACUCAGGCAUCUAAAUUUUGGCUCAAUCAUACUUCCUGCACAUCCAGGAAAAUAUUGCAGCUCUCUGGAAAAUCUCAAUUUCAUUACAGCCAUGCAUCCUUGCUGUUGUACUGAAGAUAUAUUGAACAUACUACCUAAUCCUCAAAAUCUCUGGAUAGGAGGAGAUUUAUAUUUUUAUCAAUUUUUGAUGUCCCAAAGUCUUUGCAGAUUCAGAUGCCUCAAGUCAUUGAAGAUGGUGAAUGAAAGCAAGAUGCCAAGGCUCUUCAAAAUUGUCCGUGCCAAAUACCUACUUCCUCAAAGUCUAAUCCACUUGAGUUUCUCUAAUAUUGAACAAAUGGAUGAUCCCAUGCCUGCACUAGAAAAGUUGCCACUUCUUCAAGUGCUCAAACUGAAGCAAAACACAUAUUCAGUUAGAUAGCUGACUUGUGGGUCUGAUGGUUUCCCAAAGCUCAAGAUAGUGCACCUGAAUUCAAUGCCAUGGCUAGAGGAGUGGACUAUGAGGCUUGGAGCCAUGCCAAAACUGCAAUGCUUGAUUCUCAAUUCUUGUGCUAACUGGAAAAAGAUUCCCGAACAGCUCUGGUGCAUAAAGAGCUUAAACAAAUUCGAGUGUUGGUGGCCUCAGCCGGAGCUGAGACAAAAGCUACGGGACUUCGAGGAUAAGGUGCAGUAUGACAAUCAAGUAUAUCCUUAUGGAAUUUGAUUUGCAUGGAUUUAAUUAGAUGUAAGUUUUUCAUUUUAUGUAAUAUCAUCAACCUUUAAUUAUUAAUAUAAUUUCAUACAUUUGUUUUUUCUUCUCCUCAAUAUAUUUGAUAGCACGCAGCUUCCUAAGGCUAUAAAGUGUUUUCUAAUUGUAGUUGCUUCUAAUUUUUGUCUCAACAUUAGACAUGAAGUGUUCUUCACAGUUCCUGUUGCUGACCCCGACCAUUUUCCCUUAAUUAUUUUUAGAAGAGGAAGAACCCUUGUUUAUUGAUUGUUGAACAGUCAGGAAAAACUAUAAUUUCAUAUCUUAAAUUACUUGCGCAGGUGAAAUCAGAGCGGGAAAUAUAUCAACUGUAGUGCGGCAAAAGUUUCAAUUUCAACCAGAAUCCGGCCUUGAUCCUUUCAGUAUUCACUUCUGUUGUCUACACAUUAUUAAGUCCUCAAGAUUAAUACAGGACAUUGUUGGGUUUCUUUGUUUUCAAGGAUCUGCUACAAGCAAUAAUGUCAAGUUUUUGGAUUCACUGUGUAUAUUCUAUUCAUGUGUCUUCAUUCUUGUAAUGUGCUUGAAACUCCAACUUAGUGUGGACGUGUGUGGUUUGGUUGUACCAUGUGUAAUACAUGUUGAUUGUCAUAAUUGUCUUAAGGGAAUUCUGCAUCACUUCCAUCAGAAGAAAAGUUUGGAUGUAGGCACCAUUGCUGCUGAAUCUACUAUUGAUUUGCUCUAUGUUUUCUAUUUUUUUUAAUUCAAUUUUGGGGAUUGGGUUUUUAGCAUUAAGUGUUGAUACAUCAGAGGACUAGAUAAAAUAAAUAGAAACUGGGGCAGAUUGCCUAAUCUUCAGAAUCUCCAAUUUUAUGGAGAUUUAAGGCCUUAUCAUUCAUAAAUAACUUGAAUGCUAGAUUGUUAUUAUCUUAGAUUCUCUAAAUAAUAAUCCGAAUAAGAAUGUAGGAAAAAUAUUGAUUACAAAUGCUUGUUUUGAACAAAUACUACCUAUUAUUUUAAAUUUUGGACAUAGAAAUUAUAAAUAGUAUUAGCAUGUGAAUUUUAAGGUAUUAGCUGAUUCUGUCCAAAAUUUAGUCGUUGGUUUUUGCUGAAAAAAUGAAUGUGUAUAAUUUUUUUUCCCUUUUAUUUUCUGUUAUACAUUGAUUCCCCUGCUUCUAGCUGAUUCUGUUCUCCUUUAUAACGAGAAAGAAGUUAUUUUUUGUGCUCUUAUAUAUACAUGUUAAGCUUGGAUAAGUGUGGUUUGGUUUGUUUUAAUAAUAUGAUUGUGUGGUGUCAUCUGUAAUACUUUUUAAGGGUGCAAUCAAAUGAGUUUAUACCUUAUAGUGAAUUUGGUUAAUUUCAAGAUAUCAUUUUUUGGGAUCUUCGACUUUGGUUGCUAAUACAAAAUUCCUCAAAUCUUGAUUGGAAUUUGGGAAUCUGUCCUAAAUGAUACAAGAUUUCAUAAAAAAAUUUCAUUCUGAUUUAUUAUUCGAGUUGAGAUUCAAGAUCUAAUUUUCUUCCAACUUAAUAUUCAAGACGGGAUUUGAGACGUCUGAAAAUCUCACUUGAGAUCCCUUAGGCGAUCAAAUGAGUUCAUAUCCUUAUAAUGAAUUUGGUUAAUUUCAAGAUACCCUUUUCUGGAAUCAUCCGCUCUAACUGCUAAUACGUGAACCUAGGCUGGCAAAAUUAUCCAGAUACCAAUCGAGAUAGAAACCCUACACAAGAUUUGUUACAAGUUUCUUAUCCCAAUUUUGAAUGUGGGUUAGGAUUUGAGACCCAUUUUACACCGAUUCAUAAAUUUCUUUAUUUAGACAAUAACUUAUGACAGAUUUUUAGUUCAAAGCUCACGGAGUAAAGGUUGAGUUAUUGGUGCAAUCAUCCGCAAUUUUAUGCAAGCAUGCAACAUAUUAAACAAGAGAAUAUUUAAUUAUUUUUUGGGUUCUGUUAUUACAAUAAUGAUUUUGAAGAUAUUAGUGGGAGAAAAUUCAUUUUUUUAAAUCAUUUUCAAGCUUGAGAAAAAGUUUUCUUGCUGGCAUACACUGUCCUUUAUCUAUAUUCCAGUCUUCCAUUAUGUUAAAAAAAAACAAAUAUGAAAAUAAAAAGAAAAUAGGACAUCAUCAAGUAUCAAUCAAAGAUCAAUUUGUUUUAUCCACUUUCAGGAAAGAAAAGGUAAAAACAAUCCCGCUGGGGACCAUAAAGUUGGUGUUUUUUUUGAGGGUUCGGCAUCAUGUUUGCCUUCAUUUAGCAAAGGAUAUAUGAAAAAGAGAUGAAUAUUGCACUUUAGAUUUGAAUAAUUCCAAUUGGAUUUUGAAUUAAUUAGAUUAGGAAAAAAAAAUCAUUCGAAUCCAACCUGAAUCUCAAAUAUAAUCAAUUCGAUUCAAAAUAAAUUGAUAUUUCAGAUGAAUUUGGUUUUAGAUUGUUUCGUAUUUAAAUGAAAUUUUAAAUUCAAAUAGUAUUUUAAACUCGGAUUGAAUUCGGAUUUAGGUCUUUUUGAUAAUUUUUACAAAAAAAUCAUGAACUCUGUAUAUAUAUGUAGAGUAGUGCAAUCCAAUCGGAUUGUUUAGAUUAAAACAUCCAAAUUCAAAUCAGAUCUAUUCGAAUCCAAUCCAAUGCACACCUUUAGCCCUAUUGGAAUGAUCAUCUAACCAUUCAAACUAUAACGUAUUAUGUUGUAGUCUGUAGAGCGCUUGAAAAGAAAAUCUCUAAACAAUAGCGACUAUUAUGCAUUUGAUGCAUCAAUGAAUCAAAUUCUAAGGUGAUGCUUUUUCUCUCUAGACAAGCUUUAUGGUCCCGGCGGAAUUAUUUUUAAUCUUUCAGUCUUUUGAGAGGGCUAAAAAGAAACUAGUCUUGAUAGCCUAUUUUACUUUCUUCAUACAUAUAUAUAUAUAUAUAUAUAUAACACAAAUUAUAAGACACCCUUUUAUCUUCUUGCAUAAAAAAUAUUUUAUAUACACGUACAUUAUACCUCAGGUUUUGUGCAGAAAAUCAUUAUUGUACAUCAAUAAUUUCUCAAUAUAAUUCCUCUUAUCAAUCAGUAUCCCCACGGCACCUGCAGCAUCUAGGUUUAAGAUUCAUUUUCCAGUACUGCUCUGCCUUGAUCUGUUCUACUUUGACAGCCACCUGAACUUGAUUCAACUUCUUGAGAGAAGGAGGUAUUGGUGCCAUCCUCAGUUGCUUAUGUUGACUAAUGUUGAAGUAAAAGGAGAGCUUUUAACCAUUUUUUUUAUAAUUGUUUUCUUUGCAUGCUAGGGCUGCUGGCUACUGACUACCGAGAGUGAAGGAGAUAUGGACAUCAACCUUGGACUAUUUUCAGAGAGACUAAGAAGGGUGCUAGCUGGUGAAGAAUUCACGGUGCCCGAUGCUGCUGAACAACCUAUUUAGAACCUUUACACUGAGACUGAAAUCGUUGCUUCUUGGUUGAGGGACUCUAGAUACAACACUGCUUGGUUUAUGUAGCAAGUCAAUGCAGAAGAGGGUCAAACUCUUGCAGAAUUAGAAGAUUUUAAGGCUAUCAUUGACAAAAUUCGUUGCUUUUCAUACAUAUCUGAGAAUGUGAUUGACACAUUUGCUAUCAGUAUCACUCAACAGAAGAGUCAAAGCGGAUGCAGCAAGGACAUUUGUGAUGCUCUGCUAGGACUCCAAAGCAAAAUCAUUGAUAUAAAACAACGGAUGCAGCAAGUUCAGCACAUCCACUCCAGAAUCGUUGAUGAGCUCAAAUCGUUUGAAGCAAAAGCUAGUAAUUUUCCUGCAUCCUCAUCUUUUAAGAAUAGGGACACGGUGGGUCUAGAUAAUAGAAUGGAGGAGUUAUUAGAUCUACUAAUAGAGGGACCGCCUCAACUUUCGGUAGUGGCUGUUGGAAAAUUUUCAAAAUAAAUGUGUCUUAUGGUAAAGACAUGUCCUAUUAAUUGUGCCUUAUAGAAAAGGUACCUUUCACUAAAGGCAUGUCUAAUUAAAUGAUGUCUUGUUGUAAGGACAUGUCCAUUUAAUUGUGUCUUGUAGAAAAUGUAUCUUUUUACUAAAUGAUAUAACUUUUCAUGGCAACAUUUCACUUAGAGAUGCAUCAUUUCAUGGUGACAUUUCAUUUGAAAUGGUGAUGAUUCAAUUUGGACCAUUGAUUAAAAUCAAAUCUAGAUCCAAUGGCCAUGAAUGAAGGGGUAUCAUGAAAUAUGACAACCCAAAUGAGGGGGCACAAGUAUAUCUAUAAAUAGGGGUCAUGUUUAAGCCAUUUAGACAUGAAAUUAAUGAUCCUACACCACUUUUUUCUUAGCAUUCCUUUCUAGUACGAAUUUCAACACAAAACACCCAUUUCUUUUGUGCAUUCACAUUCCAAUAUAUUGUUUUCUGCAGGAACAAUAUAUUGUUUCUUGGCAGGCUUGUAACAUUCAAGAGUAUUCUGGUUUGCUUUCAUCGAUGCACAACACAAGCAAACAAACAAGUGCUUCAUUGUAUCCUGGAGGCGUAUUUGCUUAACCCAUGUGCAUUACUCAAUCGGUGGGGGCAAAUAACAUCUUAAGGAAAGUGACAUUUGUAACGCGCCUUGAAGUACACAAAAUUUCUGCAGUUUACUUAUUACUAUUAUUUUUCUUCUUACAUAAGUUGUAAACACAUUACUUUAUGUAAUAAAGUUCCGUCAUUAUUGUUACAUUUGCCAUUCCCCACAAGUUCAACCUCCAACAGUGGCCGUACUUGAUAGCAUUGGAUUGGACAAGAUGGCUUUCGCCGCAGAGGCUUAUAGCAGCAACUAUGUGAAGCAUUAUUUUGAUUGUCACGCUUGGGUUGAAGAGUCUUUACCAUAUGAUGCUGACCAAAUAUUGUACGACAUUAUUAAGUUUGUGAUGCCUUCAAGCAGGUUGAGUGAAAUUAUGGAAGAAAGUUCGGAAAUGAAAAAAAUUAUUCUUCAUGAAUAUCUAAUGACCAAGCGUUAUUUGAUUGUGCUUGAUAAUGUGUGGAGAAUAUCAGUAUGGGAUGUUAUUUGAGAAAUACUUCCCGAUAAUCAGAAUGGAAGUAAAGUAUUGAUAACACUCAGUCGAAUUGAGAUCGUCGCCUCAUUUCAGUUCGAAAAUGGAGAGAACAUUGGGCUUGAUUUUGUGCCCACUGGAGGACCAUUGAGAGUUACAUACCAAGGAUGGCCUUUCCGCAUCUUAUAUCAUGAAAGCAUCUCACUGAAAGAGAAUAUAGAGGAAGCCCUUGAUGAACCCCUGGGGCUUCAAGUCGUUGCAUAUUGUAUGUUACCUUUUUACUUGAAACUUUGUUGUCUCUACUUAUCUGUGUUUCCCGUACACUUUGAGAUAUCCACCAAGCAAUUAUAUCAGUCGUGGAUAGCCGAAGGUUUCAUUACAGACAACAAUGAGGCAACUGCCGAGAAAUACUUAGAACAACUAAUCAAUGGAGGCUUUGUUAUCCUCAUUGAAGAAGCCAAGGGAUUAGUAUUUAUAUAUAAACACUUAACCAUGCAUGAACAAGAAUUUUAAGGAUAAAGACUCUCUCCACACGAGCGUACGUGGGGCGAGGGGGACAAAUCCAUGACCAAUUUGGUUGAACUUGUGUGCGCCCUUAAAUGUCAGCCCAAGCACCGAUGGAACGUGUUUUAUUUCCUUUUAAAUUUGUUCUAACAGUUUCACACCUUUUGAAUUCAGAAGAUUUGUAAUAGCUUCGCAAUUAUUUUGGGCUGGUAUGCAAUUCAAUUUUUGAAUUGAAUUGUUUAAAAUUCAAUGGCUAUUACAGCAAUUAAAUUGCAUAUAUUGAAUUCUGAAAUUCAAUUUUUAUGUUAUUGUUACGUACCCACAUGAGUAUAAAAAGGCACAUUCCUCUUCUGUUUUUACACACAUUGAAACUAGCACACAGAGCACUUACAAUUUUUCUUUCCUCCUUUCGUCUUGUUUUCUGAUUGAGUUUACCGCUGUUGUGGUUCGCCGAAAUUAUCUGUCUGUGCUUGACAGAAAAUUUGUGCCCGUUGUAUCCUGAGAAACAGUUACCAGCAAACUUAAAGCACUUCAGUAGGUAGUAAAUCUGUUUUAAGGACACUGUAUUACAGGCCUCAAGUUUAUUUUCUUCAGUUGCUAUUUUUCUUUUCCUGUUGUUUAUAAGUUGCUGUUUUGCUGUAGUCAAAUUAGCUACUAGUUUAUUUGUUUAACUCACUGUGAUUAUUUUUUAUAACAUUGAAAUCGUCGCCUCAUUUCAGUUCGAAAAUGGAGAGAACAUUGGGCUUGAUUUGUGCCCACUGGAGGACCAUUGAGAGUUACAUACCAAGGAUGGCCUUUCCACAUCUUAUAUCAUGGAAGCAUCUCACUGAAAGAAAAUAUAGAGGAAGCACUUGAUGAACCCCGAGGGCUUCAAGUCGUUGCAUAUUGUAUGUUACCUUUUUACUUGAAACUUUGUUGUCUCUACUUAUCUGUGUUUCUCGUACACUUUGAGAUAUCCACCAAGCAAUCAUAUCAGUUGUGGAUAGCUGAAGGUUUCAUUCCAAACAACAAUGAGGCAACUGCUGAGAGAUACUUAGAACAGCUAAUCAAUGGAGGCUUUGUUGAUGCAGGGAAGAGAGGUGACAGAGGCAGAAUCAACACAUGCUCUAUUCCUGGGCAUUGCAGUCCUGCGUUGUUGACUGUGGCUUUCGAGGGGGAAUUUUUCAUUUCCCCAAUCAUGGAUCAGGAAGUUAAAUUAUGGGAAAAUGUGAAACGCUUCACCGCUCAUGGAAAUUUGAAUGAUUUUUCAUUUUUAGAUCAUUUUGACUCGUUCCUCCAUUCCUUGUUGCACCUCACUUUAGGAAGCCACUACCUUGACUCCAAUUAUUGCGAGAAAAUCUAUAAAAUGUUCAAAUUUCUCAGAGUAUUGGACUUGGGAUCUCUUGUUCUCAUUCGAUAUCCUUCCGAAAUCGAAUAUGUAUUUCUUUUGAGAUAUUUGAACUUGAAUAUCCCUUCCCUGAAAAGCCUGCCUUCAUCGUUAUUAAACAGUCUUUUGAACUUGUACACCCUAGACAUGCCCUUUAGCUACAUAGAUCAUACAGCAGAUGAAUUUUGGAAGAUGAGCAAACUGAGGUAUCUAAAUUUUGGCUCAAUUACACUUUCUGCACAUCCAGGAAAAUAUUGCGGCUCUCUGGAAAAUCUCGAUUUCAUUUCAGCCUUGCAUCCUUGCUGCUGUCCUGAAGAUAUAUUGGGCAGACUACCUAAUCUUCGAAAUAUCCAAAUAUGGGGAGAUUUAAUUUAUUAUCAAUCUUUGUUGUCCAAAAUUCUCUAUAGAUUGAGCUGCCUCGAAUCAUUGAAGUUGGCAAAGGAAAGCAAGAUUCCACGGCGAUCCAAUAUCAUCCUUGCUAAAUACCAAUUUCCUCCAAGUCUAACCCACUUGAGUUUUUUGAAUAUUGAGCUAAUGGAUCAUCCCAUGCCGGCACUAGAAAAGCUGGCGGUUCUUCAGUUGCUCAAACUGAAGUAAAACUCGUAUUCAGGUAGAAAGCUGGCUUGUAGCUCUGAUGGCUUUCCAAAACUCAAGGUGCUGCACCUUAAAUCAAUGUUAUGGCUACAAGAAUGGACUAUGGGGAUUAGAGCCAUGCCGAAACUAGAAUGCUCGAUCCUCAACCCUUGUGCUCACUUGAAAAUGAUUCCUGAACAGCUUUGGUGCCUAAAGAGCUUAAACAAAUUAGAGUUGUGGUGGCCUGAGCUGGAGCUGAGACAACAGCUACGGGAAUUCGAGGAUAAGGAGCAGUAUGGCAUUCAGCUAUAUCCAUAUGGAAUUUGAUUAGCGUGGAUGGAAUUUGAUGUAAGUUUUUUUCCUUUUUAUCCAAUAACUUCAACCUCUAAUUAUUUAUCUAAUUUCAUGUAAACAUCUAUUCUGUAUGAUUGAUUCGAUAGUACGCAGCAGCCUAAAUAAUAAUGAUACCAUAAAGUGUUUUCUAUCUAAUUUUUGUCUCAACAAAGACUUGGAAGUGUCCAUCACAUUCCCUGAUGCUGACACUAAUCAUUAAUCUCUUAUUAAUAGAAGAGGCAGAACCCUUAUGUAUUGGUUAUUGAAAUAAUCAAGAAAAACUGUAAAAUAAGAUAUUCAAUUACUUGUAUGUGUAGCAGUGUAGGUCAAAGCAGAGCGGAAAAUAUCUUAACUAUACUGCAGCCAAAGUUUCAAUUUCAAUAAGAAUCCAGCCUUCACUGAAAUUGUGUGGUUUCUCUUUUUUUUUUUAUAAGAAUUGUUUGGUUUCUUUGUUUUCAAGGAUUAUGUCAUAUUCGGAUUAAUAUUUUGUACAAAAGUUUUAUUGAUUGUUUUACUUUCUAUUUUCACAUUCACUGGUGUGUAUUCAAUUUGUCAACAUUGAAGUUGCAUAUAUGUUAUUGUUUUUUAUUUUAUUUUAUUUUUCUAGUUUUUGAGUAGUGAUACAGUUCAAUCUCAUUACUUCAGUUAGACGAAAAAUGUUUGUGCUGUGAUCACACCUCAUUAUCUUAAAACUGACAGAACGAUUUUGUCGUUCGGUUUUUUGGAAUUUCGCCGACGUGUCGUCCAUUGUAAGGGCGACAAUGCUGGUCAAAAGUCAGUUGGGGUUCGUUAAAAUAGUGCGUGGAAAUUUCGGGUUUGUUGGAAAUAGCCUUUAUUGUAGUUUAUAAGGCUGGUUGUUGGGUCAUCUUCACAGGUCUCAUCAAAGCCAUAGAAAGAGAGAGAGUUAAAGGGAAAAAGUUGCAUAUUCUUGGAAUGAUUGUGAAAUGGUCCUUGUUCUUCAGUGGAUGUAGGCACUUUGAUUCAAUUUUGAGUUUCGGUUUCCGGAACGAUUCUUGAUACGUCAAAUAGGGUCUUAGGUGUGUGAUCUUGGUACUAACAGAGGAUUAAACACAACAAAAAAGAAACUGGGGCAUAUUGUCUAAUCUUCAUAGACUCCAAAUAUAUGGAGAUUUUAGCCCUCGUCAAUCUGGGUUGUCCAACAGCCCUUGUAAAAUAAAAAACCAUCACUAAUCCUUGGUGACUUUAGGGAUCCAGUAAGGACUAGGUAGAAUUGAAGAGGAGAUUUAACGAGUAAAGUUCUGAAAGUGGAAGAUUUAAAAUUUAAUCUGUAGCGUUGCAGGUUUUGGAAGCUUCGUUAGAAUUGAUGACUGAAUUCUUUCUCUGUUGGUUGAUUAGUAGCCCAAUUGCACUAAGAGAAUAAAGAGCAGCUGUAAUCGUUUUCACAUUUUCCGUUCCAGCAUCCAGAGGGUGCCUUGUAAUGCAGUGCAAUGAAGUUGAUGGCGUGAGGAUGUGCUGCUGCUCACUCAAUUCCUUACAGUCACAUCAAAGCCCUUGUUUGCAGCAGAGGAAUUCCCUUUUGUAUUCAAAUUAAUCCUUCUGCUUUGGUUGUCAUUGGAUUCUUUCCACUCUUUAGCCAGUAACAUAAUGUUGAGUUUAUUGAUUUUGCUAUCUUAAGAAUGUCCAAGACAUUUUGUAAUCAUGAUAUAUUGUCAUUUUAUUUUGAGACAAAAGACUUUUUUCCCAGUUAGCAAAUGCUUAUUGCUUUCAUUUUUUGGAUUGGAAAAACAAAAAUUGGAAGAAGAAAAAUGAAAAUUAAUAAACAAAAAAAAGAUUACAGGACAGCAGCAUCAUGUUCUUUUCUUUGAACUAAGUCUUUGUUUAACCUUUCACCUUUUCCAUUUUGUGAGUUUGGUAUCUCUUUCUUUUCUUGAACCAAGAUUUUUACUUUACUUACAAGUAAAGUUUAAAUGAUCUUGAUCGUUUAUUUUUCUCUGAACUUAUUUUUCUUUCACAUGCACGAUCAUUUUCAAUUCUAACAAAUCAUUCAUCUAUCAAUACCCAAUUUGAAUAAAAUUCAGCAUUCCUUUUCAUAUUCUUUCUAUGUAAUAAUUUGAUUGUGUUGUUUUUAAUCAAAAUAAGAUAUAUAUCGUCAGGAUAUUGAAGUUUGUGAUCACUUUAAGAAAAAACAGGUAGUUUAAUAUCUGAAUUAUCCACAAAAUAACUCCAUUUUAUUAUUUUUAUAUCAUGAAUGUGAGGUUCAUGAUUUAUUUGCGUUUGAUUCUUGUUUACAAGUUAUGUUUUUCCUCACACGUUUCAUAUGAUCACAAAUCAGAUAAAAAGGGGGAAAUUAAAAAAAAAAGAUUGAAAGCUAGCUUAUUUUGAGUACAAGCAAAAUCUUGCUCAUUUCCAGGGCGAAAGUAGCAGGGACGUUUUGAGGUGUUUUUAAAAAUACAGGGACUAAAUGGACACUAACCUCAUAAUAUAGGGACUAAACAAGCUUUUACCCCAUUUAGAAAUGCGUUGACAAAGAGAUUAAUUUGUCACAUGAUGGUUUCUAGGUAGAAUCUUUCCAAGCUAAUUUGCAUUUUAUAAAAUUUUUCUUUCUAUUCGUUUUACGUAAUGAUUAGUCACCAAUCUUGGUUUGAGAAUGCAUACUCAACAUGAGGUUAUAAGAUUCAUUUCCGGCACUCUACCUUUCAUCUCUUGUAAUUUGACUGUCAGCAAUCUUGAUUUAACUUUUUGAAUGGCAACACUCGGCAUGAUUAAUUAGAGAAGGAGGUAUCAGGCAUAGGGUUCUGAGUAGAGUUUCAUCAACAAUUAAUGCUGGUUAAUGUUUGAAUUGACAGACAUAAAAAUUUCUUAUUAUUAUUAUUUUUAAUCUUUUAAUAAUUGUCUCUCUCAAUUAUGUCUCAAUUUGCAUGUUAGGACCACUAGGCACAGAGAGAGGAGGAGAUAUGGACAUCAACUUCAGACUAUUUUCCGAGAGGCUGGGACGGGUGUUAGCUGGUGAAGAAGUCACGUUGCCUGAUGCUGUAAAACAACCUAUUCAGAACCUUCAUGCGGAGGUUGAAAUCGUUACUUCUUGGCUGAGUGAAUUUGAAGAUGAUAUCUCCUGGCUUCUGAUGCAAAAAAUAGGAGAAGUUGAAAUUGACAACCCAGAUCUUGGGACCGUUAUGGAUGAAAUCAAUUGCUUUACUUAUGAAUCUGAGAAGGUCAUUGACACAUUCAUCAGCAGCAUUACUCAACAGAAGAGACAAAGCGGGCGCAGCAAGGACAUUUGUGAUGCUCUGCUAGGACUCCAAAGCAAAAUCAUUGAUAUAAAACAACGGAUGCAACAAGUUCAGCACUUCGAUUCCGGAAUCAUUGAUGAAGUCAAAUCAAUUGAAGCUGAAGUCGGUAAUUUUCUUGCAUCUUCAUCGUCUAAGAAUAGGGAGACGGUGGGUCUAGAUGAUAGAAUGGAGGAAUUGUUAGAUCUAUUGAUAGAAGGACCACCUCAACUUUCAGCAGUGGCCAUACUUGAUAGCAUUGGAUUGGACAAGACGGCUUUCGCCGCAGAGGCUUACAGCAGCAACUAUGUGAAGCAUUAUUUUGAUUGUCACGCUUGGGUUCCGAGCCUCACAGCUAUGAUGCUCACCGAAUAUUAGAUCUCAUUAUUAAGUUUCUAAUGCCUUCAUCUAGACUGAGUGAAAUGAAGGAUAAAAAUUAUGAAAUGAAAAAAAAAUUCUUCGUGAAUAUUUAAUGACCAAGCGGUAUUUGAUUUUUUUUUAUAAUGUGUGGAGAAUAUCAGCAUGGGAUGUUAUUCGAAAAAUACUUCCCGAUAAUCAAAAUGGAAGUAGAGUAUUAAUAACACUCGCUCAAAUUGAGAUUGUCACCUCAUUUCAGUUUGAAAACGGAGAGAACAUUGGGCUUGAUUUUGUGCCCACUGGAGGAGCAUUGAGAGCUACAUACCAAGGAUGGCCUUUCCACAUCUUGUAUCAUGGAAGCAUCUCAUUGGAAGAAAAUAUAGAUGAAGUAUUGACCAUGUCCCUUGGGCUUCAAUGCAUCAUAUAUUGUAUGUUACCUUUUUGCUUGAAACCUUGUUUUCUCUACUUCUCCGUUUUUCCCGCACACCUAGAGAUAGCCACCAGGCAGUUAUAUCAGCUGUAGAUAGCUGAAGGUUUCAUUUCAGACAAUAAUGAGGCAACUGCUGAGAAGUACUUAGAGCAACUAAUCAACAGAGGCUUUGUCAAAGCAAAUAAGAGAAGAACUGGAGGCACAAUCAACACAUGCUCUAUUCCUGGUCGUUGCCAUCCUGUAUUGUUAGGAGUGGCUUCCGAGGUGGAAUUUAUCUUUUCCCCUUUCAUGGAUACAGAAGGUAAAUCACAAAAAAAUGUCAAAUGUUUCUACGCUUAAGAACAACAGAGUGAUUUUGCUUAGAUGAUUAUGACUCGCACCUGCAUUCUUUGUUGUACUUCACUUCAGAAAGCAACCACCAUGACCCCAUAGAUUGCCAGAAAAUUUGUGAAAUGUUUAAACUUCUCAGAGUAUUGGACUUGGGAUCUCUUGUUCUCAUCCAAUAUCCGUCCAGAAUUGAAAAUUUAUUUCUUUUACGAUAUUUGAAGUUGAAUAUCCCUUCCCUCAAAAGCCUGCCUCCAUCAUUAUUAAGUAAUCUUCGGAACCUCUACACCCUAGAGAUGCCCUUUAGCUAUAUAGAUCAUACAGCAGAUGAAUUUUGGAAGAUGAACAUACUCAGGCAUCUAAAUUUUGGGUCAAUCACACUUCCUGCGCAUCCAGGGAAAUACUGCGGCUCUCUGGAAAAUCUCAAUUUCAUUUAAGCCUUGCAUCCUUGCUGCUGUACUGAAGACAUAUUGGGCAGACUACCUAAUCUUCAAAAUCUCCGGAUAUGGGGAGAUUUAAGUUAUUAUCAAUUUUUAUUGUCCCCUCGAGUCAUUGAAGUUGGUGAACGAAAGCAAGAUGCCAGCUUUCUCCAAAAUUGUCCUAGUUGAGUACCAGUUUCCUCCAAGACUAACCCACUUAAGUUUCUCUAAUACGAAACUUAUGGAGGAUCCCAUGCCCGCACUAGAAAAGCUGCCACUUCUUCAAGUGCUCAAACUGAAGCAAAACCCGUAUUCAGGUAGGAAGCUGACUUGUGGCUCUGAUGGUUUUCCAAAUCUCAAGGUAUUGCACCUGAAAUCAAUGCUAUGGCUAGAGGAGUGGACUAU